GGGUAACGAUACUGAGUGCUACUGCUAUCCUGGUUUCAUAUUUAUCGACGAGAAUGCCAAAUCCCUGGGUUGCUCUCAGAAUUUCACUGUAGAUGGGUGCGAGGCUAGGAGAGAUGUAGUGAUACACCACAAUAGCACUACCUUAGACAAUGUGUCUUGGGCUGGUAAUCUUUAUUCUGUGAAGCGUAAUCUGGAGAAGGAAGACUGUAAGAAAGCUUGCGAGGAUGAUUGCUCCUGUGGUGGAGCUCUCUAUAGCCCAAAUCACUGUAGCAUGUAUUCAUUACCGCUUAAAUAUGGUAGAAAACAUGUAAAUAUAACAACCACAGCCUUCAUCAAGUUGAUUCCGGGUAGCACCAUUAGCCCCCCACCUGAAAAAAGUCAAAUAUUGAUAAGCGAAGGAAACGAAAGCCUCAUUUUAACUAUGGGAUUAAGUUUGGGUUCCGUUGCAAGUUUGUGUUUUGUGAUUGCAAUAUGUAGCUUCUUGUUAUACAGGCAUCGAGUCCAAAGUUAUGAGAAGCUUUUAGACAGUAAAAGUUCAGGAUUUGCCGAGCAAUUUACACUACGAUCAUUCACUUUCAAUGAGCUAGAUGAAGCAACACAAGGUUUCCAAGAUGAGUUGGGUAGAGGCUCAUUUGGAGCGGUUUAUAAAGGAACUUUGCCAGGGGAUGGUAAAAGUAUUGCUGUUAAGAGAUUAGGAAUGGUUAAGGAAGGAGAAAGGGAUCAGUUUCGAACUGAGAUGACAGCCAUUGGAAGAAAUAACCACAGGAACUUGGUCUGAUUGCUUGGAUUUUGUGUGGAAGGUUCAAGGAAGUUCCUUGUUUAUGAGUACAUGAGCAAUGGCUCACUAGCGGAUUUUCUAUUCAACAGGAAUGAACGCCCGGUUUGGAAACAGAGAGCCAGAAUAGCGUUGGACGUGGCUAAAGGUAUCCUUUAUUUACAUGAAGAGUGUGAGGUGAGUAUCAUCCAUUGCAACAUCAAGCCCUGCAACAUACUCUUGGAUGAUUCAUUGACUGCAAAGAUUUCGGAUUUCGGAUUGGCAAAGCUAUUGAGGCCUAAUCAAAGAAGCAGUACAAGUGGAGCAGCAUGGUACUCGGCACCUGAAUGGCAAAACAGUGCAGUGUUAUCGGUAAAAGUUGAUGUAUACAGUUUCGGAGUGAUACUGUUGGAGAUCAUAUGUUGCAGAAGCAACAUAGAAGUAGAAGGUCGCAGUGCAGAUGAGAUACUGCUUUCAACAUUUGUAUACAAUUGCUUUGUUGGGGGAGAGUUGAAUAAGCUCGUGGAAGGUGAAGAAGAAGUGGACAUGAAAAUGGUGGAAAGGUUUGUGAAGGUGGGGCUUUGGUGCAUUCAAGAUGAUCCAAAUUUGCGUCCACUCGUGAAGAAUGUGAUCUUGAUGCUAGAAGGAACAAUGAAUGUACCGAUCCCUCCAUUUCCAUCACUUCCCCAUGUUACUAAUUAGUGUUCUUAACUUUGAAGUUGGGUUUAUUUUAAUUAUGUUUUUCAUGUAAUUAAUAAUAAUUAGAGGAGUAAUUUUUAAAAUAAAAUUUUGGAAACUAUCUGGUUGUUACAAAGAAGGACAUUUUAUGUUCUAUGCAUCAAUUAUCAUGUGAUAAGUGAAAGGUCUCUAAUCUAUACAUCAAUUAUAAUAGUAAAAGUAUACAUGGUUUUUUCCUUUGUUUUCACUUAUGUGUUGUGUUGAAAAAUUAAAUGUUAACAUCUUAAAUACUUACAAAAUCAAUUUGGUAUGUUUGUUAAAUUUAAGUAUAUGAUUAAAUUGUUUGAUAAAGGAUAGCUUUCUAAUAAUUUUAGAGCUCUAAACAAAAUCUUUAAAAAAAUAUCUUUCGGUCUCACUUCCCUAGAUAUUCCUUUAGGGGCAUUACUUCCUAACUUUUUAGGCCUACUCAAUUUAGUUCAAUUUAAUACAAUUUAGUCCUUUUUUCCAAAAAUUAGCUUACCUACAUUUCCAUCAACCAAAUCCUUUUUUAGGUUUAGCUAUUUAUGCUGCAAAUAAAGAGAAUGGACAUGGAAAUGAAAAGCAAACAAAACAUUGAAGUUUAAGAAAAAAAUAUGAAAGUUUGGAUUUUUUUUAUGCAAGAAAACUUAAAGAACAUAAAACUAAAGGCAUUCAACAAGGAAAUCUAAAGCAAUAAACAGAAAAGGAAUAAACUUUAACAAAUUUAAAGUAAAAGAAACUAAAAUGCAUUAAACUAAAGUUAGAAAUGUCUUACAACCAAGGUAUAGGGAUUGGAAGUGCAAAUAAACUUAAGCUAUAGUAAUAACUAACUAACUUAACUACCACUAAGAACAACUAAGAACAACUAAAAUAAGAAAGAAAAUUGUUGGGAAAUGUAAAAUCUACUACUAAAGAAAUGAAAAUAAAAAAAACCCUAGAAAAAGAAGAAGAAAAGCUAAGAGAAAACCUAGAGAAAACUAAGGUAAAACUAAACUAAUGUGUGUCUCCUCUCCUCAGCCAAAUUUGGUUAUUUUAGGCUGAAUGCUAAUAGUACUUCGUUGCCAAAAUUGCCCUUACGUGGGCCUUGGAUGAUUGGUGGAUCGGGUAGAAAUAGACUACUCUUUUUAUCUAAUUUUGUCCCCCUCACAAUGUUGGUGUCACGAUACCUAGAAGAGGAUAUCUCGAUUCCUCAAGUAGUUUCGAACCUUGGGGUCUUCUUUGAGGGUGGAUAUCGUGAUACCACUGAAAAGUGGUCUCCCUUCUUUCCAUACUGUUGGAGGUAUUGUGAUUUCAAGGUAUGAAAAUAGCGAUACAUUUUCUUUUGGUGUCAUUUUCGCUCGUUUUCAACCUCAGCACGUUCUUACACCACUCAACCAAAUGUUAGGUCCCCCAAUAGUACUAUUGGCCAAAUUUGAUCAUAAAAUGAGUAAAAAUAAGGCAUUUACACUUAUCAACUUAAAAUAUAAAAAGUAAGAAAAAGUAUGAAAAAAAAUGCUAUUUUGCUUGAGAAUAAGGUCCUUAAGUAUAUUGGUAAAGUCUAAUUUGUCAUAUCAAAUUAUGGUAGAUAAAACUCCCCCACAUAUAACUCUUUGCUUGUACUUAAGCAAACCAAACAUGCAAAAGGAAAGACGACUGUUGGACUAAAUCAGACAAUUAAGUCAUAUAUCUAUAAAACAUCAAACUCGUACGGGAACUGCCUCAUAUGCAACUUAAGAGUGAUAUCUAGAUAACUUGUUUAUUCUUAAUACAAACAUAAUUAGUUCACUAAGUUAUAAUGUUAAUAGAUGUAGAGGCAAUGAAAAUUAAAAAAUGUACAAGUGUUAUCCAUCAAAAUAAAUUAUGCGAAUUGCUCAUAGAUAUUUUAAAAAAAUGGAUCAUAUUCGUUCAAACAAAUGUAGACUAUUUACGAAUUAUUGUAUUGGUGACAUAGAUUAUGUUAAGUAAUGCUUUUUAGAAGUACUUUUGAUAUGAAAAAUACUUUUGCAGCAAAAAGAACAAGAUAUUUUUUGCUGAAAUUUUUGGCUUUUCAAAAGUACUUUGAAAAAAAAAAAGAGAAACUAAAAUUUUUAGCUUUUCUUAUUCCAAAAACAUUUUUAGUGCUUAAUUAUUUUUUCACUUCUCCAAUAAUAUGGUACUUUCUCUCUUUUUUUCUCUGGUGCUUAAUUACAAAAAUGUUAAAAUCAUUAAUUAAAAAUAAAAAUAUAUUUUUAAAAUAAUACAAAUGUGUUAAUAUCUAAUUACAAAUAUUUAAUGGUUAUAUUUAAAUAUUUAAAAUAUAAUUUAUAUAUUCUACUAAAAUUUUAUAAAUAAAUAAUAUUUAUUGUUUAAAAUAUUUAAAAUUUAUAUUUCAUAUAUUAAAAUAUUAAUAAUAAGUUAUAAUAGUUUUUUAUUCUUACUAGAAUAUAAUAAUAUUAACUAAUUUGAACAUUACUUAAAUGCAUAUUUGUUACUUUAUAAUAUUAUGUCUAAAAUAAAUAUUUUAUUUCUCGAAAGUAUUUUUUCAUAACACUUUUUAAAAGUAUUUUUCAAAAUUAUAGCAACUAACCCUAAUUCGGAUCCCAAAGAUCUUCUAAGUUUGUAAUGUUACAAGGCUUAGGACAGUUCAAAAUUCAAAUGGGUUCAAACACUAGAAACGGUUGAGCACAUGACAUUGUUCCCUACUUGCUUCAAAUUCAUUUACAAGCUCACCUCCUUAUUUCUCAUUCUCUUGCCUACCAUAUUUUUCCAAAAUGUUAGAAGGUAUUAUGGCACAAAAUUUAUAAUUGUGAACCUAAAGAUAUUCAUUUUUGAGCUUAAUUUUGAUUUAGCUAUCAUUUUCUUUAUUUUGCACUUUUUCAUUCACCCUUUCUUUUUUAACAUACUAAUUUGCGUAAUCCCUUCAUUUUCUUUUUAUAAAUACAUAUAUCAGAAUUUAUAAACACAAAAUUCUAAGGCGAUAGUACAAUUUCUAAGGAUCUUUAGAAAUUUUGGUAUUUUGUAAUUGAGUCAUUCUAAUUUUUUUUUUCAUAUUAAAAACUUUUUAAAAUUAAAUUGCCAUGAUUAUGUUUAUUAACUAAAAUGAUAUAUAUUUUUUGGAUCCAAAUUGACAUUUUCUAACAAAAAUUAUUAGUGGUAGAAGAAGUGGCAAGAUCAGUUUCAACUAGUUCACGCAUGAAAAUAAAACCUCGGAAAAAGCUUGGGAAACCUACAUUAAUUUUAUCACCAUUUUUCCUUAGAAAUGUUGACAGUCCAUAAAGUUGUCUGUAUGUAUCAAAAUAUAAAAGAAUGUUAUUAGAAAUGUCGGUAUUUGAUUAUACAUUUUAGUACAGGAUUUAGGAAUGAGAUUUUGGUAUAUAAAAAAACCUAAUUAUUUUUCAUGAAAAUAUUGAUAUUCCGUUAGAAAUUUUGAUAUAUAACAAGAUAUAACAAGAUAUGUUUUUAGAAAUUUUAAUAUUUCGGCCGGUUGAGUCAUUAUUCGAUUGACAUACACAAUGUUAUUAAUAUAGGGUUCGAGUGUAUUUAAACGCAUUAUCCUCCUAUUUAUGGUUAGAGAGAGGCUAUGGAUAGUUCAAGCUCACCCUAUUAAGAAUAUUAAUAAGAAAUAAAUAUUAUUAAAUUAUCUUUAUUUAUUUUAAUAGUAUUAUAAAUUUAAUAUAUUUUAUUUAAAUAUUUCAAUUAAUUAACUAAUUUAAUUUUUUUAUUAUAUUAAAUAAAUAACUUAAAAUAAAAUUUAAAUGUAAAAACUAAAAAAUUAAUCAUAAUUAAUUUAAAUGAUUUCAAUAUAAUAUAAAUAAAAUUAAAAUAAUUAAAAUCUAACUAUUAAAAUAAAGGAAAUAACUUAUAUUAGGAUGAUCCUAAAAACUAAGGUUUUUAGGCACCAAUAAAAUUUUGCCACAACAUCACAAUGUAAAGAAAUUAAAUUAUUAUUAUGCUCUCAUCUAUAGAGAAAUUAUCUUAUUAAUCCUUUCCACCACAUUAUUCAUGGUCCCUUUCAACAAUUUUUUUCACGUCACUAACACAUAAUUUUGAUAAUUUUUUAAACACAUAAUUUUGAUAAUUUUUUUACUCUGAACUUAACUCUAGAAUAUUGAACCCUGAACCCUGAACCCUAAACUUGAACCUAUAACCUCAAAUUUUUAAACUCUAAACACAAACCCAAAAUCAUUAAACCUUGAACUCAUAUCAUAAACCUCGAAUAUUUAAACCAUCAACCUAAACUUUGAAUCCUGAAUUCAAAAUUGAACCUCAAACUUUAAAUUUUGAACCCAAACCCUGAAUCUCAAGGUUCAAAAUUUAAGAUUGAAGGAAAAAUAAUUAACAAAAUUAUGUGUCAAUGACAUGAGAAAAUUGCACAAAAAUUACUUCUUUUUUUAAAAUUUGGUUGCAUAAAAAAAAGAAUUUAUGAAAAAGAGAUUAAAAUUUUCAAAAAAAGAUGAUUGUUUAUAAUUAAAAAAUUAAUUAUUUUAAAUAAUUUAAUUUAAUUUAAUUUAAUUUGAAGAAAGUAUUAGAUAUACAAAUAUAUAUAAUAAUAUUUUAUUAUCUUUAAAAUUUAAUGAGGUAAUGUUAUUUUAUUAAUAUUUUAAAAUUAUACUUUUUAGUAUUAUCUAAAAGAAAAAGAGAGAAGUAAACUAAAAAAGGAAAUGCGGUGUUUGCAACUAGGGGUGUUCAUUCGGUUAACCGACCGGUUAACCGACCCGAAAUUACUAUAACCGAAUUAACCGACCUUCCAAAAAUUUUAACCGUUAACCGAACCGAUUUUUUUAAAAAAAAAUUAACCGAACCGAAAUUUUUUUGGGUUAAUAAGGUCGGUUAACCGAAUUAACCGAAAAUUAUGUAUUUUUUAUUUUUGGUUAAAAAUUACCCGAAUUACCCGAAUUAACCGAAUUAACCGAAUUAACGCAAAAUACCCGAAUUACCCGAAUUUUUUUAUUUUUUAUUUUUAAAAUUUAAAAAAUUUAUAAAUUAUUAAAGUAAAUUGGGUUUUAGACUUUAGUAAAUUGGGUUGUCUUUUAGUUUUAGUUUUAUUGGAUUGGGUAAUCGGGUAAACUUUAGUUUUAGUUUUAUUGGGUUGGGUAAUUGAGUUUUGGCUGGGUUGGAUAAUUUUAUUUAUUAAUUUUUUCAGUUAACCGAAAAUUUUUGAUUAACCGACCGGUUUCGAACCGAAUUAACCGUUAACCGAAAAAUCAUAAAAAAAUUAACCGACCCCCGACCGAAAAAAUUCGGUUAACCGACCGAUUAACCAAAUUCGGUCGGUUAACCGAAUUUUUUCGGUUUUACCCGAAUUAUGCACACCCCUAUUCGCAACUACAUCCUCCCUCCCAUUGAAAAGGAAAAAUUAUUAGAUGGAGCCUGGGAGUUCUCACCGCCUAAAUUAUAAGUCUAAUCAAUUGAAGUAAUACACAUUUUUUUUUAAAUUUUUAAUUUUUUUCUCUUAAAAAUUUUAAAUUCAAUUAAAAGUAUUAAAAGUCAAAGAGAAAAAUCUAACUUAGAGAUAAAAUAACGUGUAAUUAUAGAAUUGGAAAUCUUGCUUUAUGUCUACGAUGAUAUUAGACGUAUAGUUUAAGUGGAGAGAAGGAUUUAUGUAAUAAUUUAGUCAGGUUACCUGUCUUUUUCUGCGCAAACCCUGAUUCCAGACCUCGGCCAUUUUUAAUUUGGGUACUUGUAAAAUAAUUUCUUCAUCGGUUCCAAAAAUAGAAGACAGAAAUAAAUACAAUAAUUCCUAUGGCAGCAGUGUGGUCUCUUCUCAUGCUCCUGUCUUCUUUCUUUGUGGCUAGAGGAGUUGAAGACAAGCAUUCAAACGGCACCAUUGGGCUGGGAUAUUCGCUUUCCCCCUUAACUCCACCCACCUCAUUGGCUUCGCCUUCUGGUAGUUUCGCAUUUGGUUUUUACAGUCAAGGCAAUGGCUUUUCAAUUGGAGUUUGGCUGGAGGGCAAUAGAAAGACAGAUAACAAAGUUGUAUGGACAGCAAACCGUGAUGACCCGCCGCUCCAUGCAACUGCUACUCUGACACUAAACGAGAAAGGUUUGCUUCUUUCGAGCGGUGUGAGCGGAGAAAAUAAAGUUAUUUUUUAUCCAAAUGACUCGGCUGUCAGUGUCUUCUCUGCCUCCAUGCUAGAUUCAGGCAAUUUUGUGCUCUACAGCACAGUCAAUCAUACCAUUUGGGAGAGUUUCGAGCAUCCUACAGAUACCCUUUUAGGUGGUCAGGCUACUACUCAGUCGUUGAUCUCCUGUUCUUCAGAAAAUGAUCACUCAUCCGGAAGGUUUCUUCUAGGUAUGCAACCAGAUGGGAAUCUAGUUCUAUACCCUCUAGACGUCAAUUUUGCUGUUACAACUGCCUAUUGGGCCACAAAUACUGAUGGUGUGAAUCGUUCACUCCGAUUAUUUCUUAACUCGACAGGCUUCCUACAACUUAUCAACAACACUGAUUCCUCCAUCUACCUAGAAAUUAAUUCUAGAUUUGUUACAGAGGUGAGCUACAACGAGAACACCACCACCACCAGCAACGACGGUAUCGUUCACAGUGCAAGCCUUGAUGUUGAUGGAAAUUUCCGGUUAUAUACUCAUCAAUUUGAUCCAAGUGGUGGAUUUCGAACUUCCCGAGUGUCGCGUGCGUUGAAGGAUUCCUGUGAAAUUAUAGGCUUUUGUGGUAUCAAUAGCUAUUGCACGUUUAAUGAUGACAGAGCUUACUGUGCAUGCCUUCCCGGCACUGAUUUUAUCGAUCCUCAACGCAAUACCCUCGGCUGCAAGAGAAAUUAUAGUGAAGCACAUUGUAAAGGAGGGAAGGACAAUAUACCCCUUUAUAACAUCACUCAAUUGCAAAAUAUAGAAUGGACUACAGGUAUAUUUUACAGUGAAGAGGUAAUGUCCAUGAGUGCCUGCAGCCAAACAUGCUUGGAAGACUGUAAUUGUGAGGCAGCAAAGUUUAGCGAUGGAGUUUGCAGGAAACAAAAGCUUCCACUAUGGCAUUUGCGACGACGACAAGGUGUGAGUUCCACGGUUUUCUUAAAGAUGGGAAUCAGAAGCCUAGAAGCAGAUGAUGGUACUGUUUCCCAUGAAUUAAAGCCCCAAAUCAAACGGAAAGAUCCGACGCUGAAAAUUCUUCUUUUAACUUUCAGUCUUGUCGCAUGUUCAUGUGCUUUGCUUGCAAUCUCUGGUGUAUUCAUUUUUAAAUUUCGAGUUCUAAGAUACAAAAGGCUGUUGGAAAUUGGAAAUUUGGGCCUAACCGGAGAGCUUACGUUGACGUCGUUUUCAUACAAUGAACUCAAGAGAGCAACGAAUGGGUUUAAAGUAGAGUUGGGUAAGGGAUCCUUUGGAGCAGUCUACAAAGGGUCCUUAAACAGAGGAAGAAAUUUGAUUGCAGUAAAGCGAUUGGAGAAGUUAGUGGAAGAAGGAGAAAGAGAGUUCCAAGCAGAAAUGCGAGCAAUUGGCAGAGCUCACCACAAGAAUUUAGUUCGACUUUUGGGAUACUGUGCUGAGGACUCCAAGAGGGUGUUGGUGUACGAGUACAUGGGCAAUGGCUCCCUUGCUGAUCUACUUUUCAAGUCAAGACAGCGCCCUGAUUGGGAUGAAAGAACAAGAAUAGCCCUGGAUGUAGCUAGAGGAAUCCUCUAUUUACAUGAGGAGUGUGAGACCCCAAUCAUUCACUGUGACAUAAAGCCGCAAAACAUAUUGAUGGAUGAUUAUUGGAGAGCUAAAAUUUCAGACUUCGGGCUGGCAAAACUGUUGAUGGGGGAUCAUACAAGGACCUUCACAGUAGUGAGGGGAACUAGAGGAUAGAUGGCCCCAGAAUGGCAUAAGAAUGUUCCAAUCUCAGCGAAGGCUGACGUUUACAGUUACGGAAUUGUGCUAUUGGAAACUGUGUUUUGCAGACGAAACUUGGACACCACUGUAUCAAACCCAGAGGAGAUCAUUCUGUCGAUUUUGGUGUAUAAAUGUCUGGUUGAAAAAAAGUUGGAUAAGCUUGUGCUUGGUGAAGAAGUAGAUAAGAAAAGCUUGGAAAGAAUGGUGAUGGUGGCACUUUGGUGUAUCCAAGAUGAACCUGCACUUCGUCCUUCCAUCAAGACUGUAGUGAUGAUGCUGGAAGGCAUUACUGAUAUAUGCAUUCCCCCAUGUCCAACUGCUUCCUCCAUAUAAUUCAAGUCUUCCUCCAUAUAAUUCAAGUCUUCGUCCAUAUAAUUCAAGUCACGACCUAACAAUCAAUCAUCUCACUCCGAGUGUUCGUGUAGUUUAUGUUACGUAAGGACUGCGUCAUGUUUGUAUUUCCUCUGGCUUGUAAUAAAUUUGUAAAAUGCUUCCUGCAGCAGUGUUCUCCCAUCAUUUGUAGGUUUAAAAAUUGUGUUCGAGUUAUUUAAUCAUAUAGUUGUAUGUAAUAACUGAGUUUUACUGUAAUUCCUAAUUAAUAAUCUCCGAUUGCUCAAAAUGGUAAAAAACUUGCAAAAGGGUCAUGUAAGCAAAGCCAUCAUGUGUAUGCUAAGACUAAUAAGUCCUUUUGUCUUGGACUUGUUAUGAUCUCAUUAGACAGGAUGUUAGGAAACUGAAUAAUCAUUUUUAAGCAGAGAGAUUGUGCAUUAGAAUAACAGCAUCCAAGAGCAAAACCAGAACUCAGAGGCUGUGACUGUUGAACAUGUUCCGGCAAAGGUACAUGAGAAUUAUCAACUUAGGUGAUAUUGGUAUAUUUGCACAUAUGUGCAGCGCUAUGGUUUGAAAGACGACGACGACGACAACUACUACUACCUGCCAUACAGCUGAAGCCAUCUUCCUCUUUUUGCGAUCAUAUGAGUAUAUAUACAAUACAAGUUUGCGGUUAAGGCCCAGAAACAAUACCAACAAUGUCCAUCCAUGGCAGCCCAUCUAUAUAACUAAUAAGGAACUAAUGACCUAGAAAAAUGGUUAAAUUUCAAUUUAAUCCCUCUACUAUGCUUAAAUUUGAGAUUGAAUCUCCAUACUUUGGUCCUUUUAUUUUUGUAAUGUUAUUAAUAAGUCCAAAUAACUAAUAUAAUUAACUUUUAAAUUAAGAUGUUAUGUGUUUAUAUAUAAUUUAAAUUUCCCAAGGGUCUCAAAGACGAACAUAUGUAUUUCCAUUUCUUUUGGAUUUGUCUUCUUUCUUUUUUUGACAUUAUAAGACAAUGAUCAAACUUCAAUUUUAGCUCCUAUAGUAUGUUGAAACUUGAUAUUUGAUUUACACACUUUAAUUUUUGACAUAAUUUGGUCAUUCUAUUUUUAUAAUGUCAUUAGUUAGUCUAAAUACUUAAUAUUGUUAACUUAACGAUAUUAAGUAUUUUAAUCAGAAUGCUUACAUCAAUUUUUCUUAAGAACACCAUGCCAACAAAAAAAGUAUUAUUUUAUAAUGAUGAGUUCAAAUAGGUGUUUUUAAGAAAAAAAUUCACAUAAACAUUUUCAAUGUUAAUUUUUAUUGUUAUACGACUACCAACUGUUUUUUUUUUAAUUUCGAAAUGUCAAGCCAAUGAAUUUAAUAUAAGAAUUUUAAUUGUGGUACAACUUGACCUAAAAGCUUAAACCCGAAAAGUAUAGGGACAAAAUUUUUGAAAAUAAAAGUAGAGGGACUAGAUUUUAUAUGUAUGAAGUGUAUAAAACCUUAGAGUAUAUUUUAACUUUCAAGGUUUUACUCCAUUUUUUUGGUCGAAACCACAAUAUUUACCAUUGGUAGCCGUAACUAAUCUCCCUCACCGCAAGUGCUCUCUAAAAAAAAUAAACAGUUGGUGAUGAAAUGUGAUUCAUUCACAUUAAUUAUGCAUUUUUUUUUACUCCAUUCGAGUAUAAAAUUAAAAGGUAAACUACACAAACUAUAAUCAACUAUAAAAAAAAAUCAUUUUAGACACAAAAAAUAAAAUGUAUGUAAUUUAGUCACUCGUAUUUUAAUCACUCCCAUUAAAAUGGAAGAUGGAUGUCCACGUGGAGCUUUUUUAAAAUUUUUAUUAAUAUUUAAUAAUUUCCGACUAAUAAAUUAUUUCGACGUCUGAAAUUCUUUUAGCCUAAACCUAAGCUAAUAGUGAAACUAAGGAAAAAUUUCCUUCAUUCUAGUGCUAGAAAAAAAAUUGCAGUCACCCUUUCCCUUUCUCGCCCAAUCUCAGCCUCAACCACCUCCCUCUCUAGUUUCUCAUGCUCUGCUUUGGCUUCCUUGAUGUGCCUCAUCCCGGCUUGCCACCCCAAGCUUUUUAUAGUGGAGGUCAGUUUGGGGGUGGCUCUUUACCUCUGGGGCUUGGUUUUAAAAGUUUUUAAAUAGUAAAUGUAAAAUUGUAUUUUAGUCUUUUUAAAAAUGAUAAAAUUUUGAUUUAAUCUUUUAAAAAUUAUAAAAAUAUAAACUAAUUAAUGGUGAAAUUAUUUUUUUACUAUCAUAAAAAUUACAAUUUAAUUUUAACCCCUUAAUUUUUUUUCUAAAUUUGACCCUGUUAUAUAGAUUACCUAAAACCUAAAUUAAAUGAUAGGUUAAUUUCAAAAUAUUGUUUAUUGUUAAUACAAAAGGGUUAGGAGGAAAGGUAACAUAAAUCAUUCUCCACCUUUGCACUAUAUAUUAUACAUGCUUUCUUUAUCAUCAUAAUUUGACAGAUAUAAUACAAAGCAAGUCAAGUCUUGUGAAAUAUUGAUAGAAUAAAGCAGGCUUUGUGGGAGACUUAUUUGGUUAUGGUUUAACUUAACAUAUGCUUUUGGCUUGGAGUGAAAUAAUAUAAGAUUGAACACUGAUAUUUUAUUUUCUUGUGGAUGAUAUUAUUAACCAUAUGGCGUGGACGGUAGGCUAGGGAAUUUUUUACUCUUUAUGUCAUCCAUAUUUACCAUUGAUAACCACAAUAAUUUAUUUUUCAAUAUAAACAUGACUUAUAAAAUUUCAAAUAGUUUAUGAGACAUAGGCAAAGUGUUUGGAAGAAGUGACUAAAUGAGUGGAUAUUUUUUCAAGCUCUGGGAUAACAGAAAUAUAAUAGGAGAUAACAAAAAGUUUGCUUACGCAGCUCACGGAGUCUAAUUCAGUGAGAAGUAUCCACUAUCUUCAAACACUUACAGCAAGUGACCCUAAAUCUAUGAGACCCAAGUGACAAUUUCCUCACUUUUGUGCCUUUAAAGACUAGAACCCUUGCCACUAAAUUCACCCCUGUGAACUAAGCAUGUAAAACCACAACCCAAAGGUUUUACAAUCAAAUGCACUCUUACAAAUAAUGUUCCUCACUUGAAUAGAUUAAGUGCUCUCAAUUCUCGAACAUAAUCCUAUACAAGUCUCUCUAUUAUAUAGAGUUGUUCGAGACUUGCUAACAUAGAGAAGAUCUAUAACAAUCUCUAUAAAACAAUCACUAUAUAAGUUGAAUAAAAUAUAAUAAUAGCAAACAAGAUAAACAAGAAUUAUUGGUAAACAAGGACGGUUGGUAGAUAAGUUGAAUAAAAUAUAAUAAAUAAAAUAUAAGUCUUUAAUGUUACAAACCAAUCCAACUUCCUUAUCUAAGGGAUUAGAUAAGUGUGAUUCGAAUCGAUUCGAUCCAACCCUCUUUAUACAUUUCUUUAAGUGAUAUGAUCUUCAUUAGUGGGCUAGAUACGAUCCACAAUCUCAAUAUAACCAAAAUAUCUAGCUCAAUAAAUUGCCAACAACUCAAAUAUGGAAAUAGCCUAAUCUGUCGUAGUUGGUCAAAGAGUGGGCACUCCCUCAGACACUUAUUUAGUCUUUCUGUAUUUUCAACAAUCUCCUCAUUUGGAAAUUUUUUGAACAAAACACAAACAAAGUAGGAAGCUUAAACAUAAAUUAACAACUUGCUCCCUUUUAUUAUAUUUCCUUUUAAUCCAACAAUAAUGAAUCAUGAAAAAUAUAUGCAACCAAAGUAAUCAUCAUUUAUUGACCAAAUGAAAUCCAACUAUUAGAAGUAGCAAAAUUAAGAAACAAACCUCCAAAAACCAUAAGUUUCAAAAAGCAACAGUAACAUCAAUGAAUUUGAAGCAAAAUAUGAAUCUCCCCUAUCACCAGUAGCUUCCCCUUAUUCUCUUUUCCCCCCUUUUUGAUCAACAAGAUUGCCAACUUAUUUUUCAUUAGGAAGGGAUAUUAGAUUAGCACAAAGAAGCUUUUGCCUAUCUAUGAUCUUCUUCAUAGUCUUAGCUUCAAUAAGGAGUCUGGUAAUGUGCCUAUCAUUGGCUUCAAUAAAGGAUGUAAGAUCCUCAAUCAUCAUUUUAUGAAUGUCAUAGGGAAUAACCUUGGGGCCUGGAGAAGUUGGCACUUAUUGGGUCUAAGGUGCUUCUUCUUGCUCAACAUCAUCAUAUCAAAAUUACUUCCCCUCAACAGCAACAUUACCUCUCCCCCUUAGUAGGACCCAUCAUAUUUAGACAAUAACAAUUCAGGGCCUUCCUUAUCAUUGAAGUGCUAACUUUAUACUAUUCUCCACAUAAAAAUACCUUUUAAUGAAACUUACUAUAUUUGUUACUUAAUACUUUGCAGCAAAUUAACAUAAAACUUCAUAACAACAUUACAGACACACAACUUGACACAACUCAUUGACCUUAACAAACCACUUUUUCCAAUAAGUACAUCUAUGCCAUGACCAACAAACCCUCUAAAAAUAUGAUAAUAGGUUGGAUUAAAUGACUUGGUAUCAAAGUAUAAUUGGUAAACUGUGUAAUAUAUAUGUUUACGUAAUACUAAAGGCUAGAAAUGAGUAUAUGUAACUCGUAACUUUGCUGAAAUGACAUAAUUGAGAUAUUGGUUUGCUUGUUUAGGUGUUGCAAAAUGGUACCUUUUAGAUCUUUUGGAAACAAAAAAUUACGUGGUGACGAGGAAUCAACAAUAAGUUGCAUCAUGACCUGGAAGCCCCAAUCGUGACAUCAACUCGAUAGUUUGCAAACUUUUCAUUUUGGUCCUAAUUCGACCUCAAGUUAGCAUAUGAGCUUUCAUAAGCUUGUAUAAGACUCGAAUAUUAUUGAAAAACAUAUUGUGAAAGCGUGAUGUAGUUAGUAGCAUGUGAAAAAAGUUAACUUGGGUCGGUGUUGCUCUGACAACGAAAGUUGCAUAUAAAGGAGUGCUCCUAGAGGCUGUGCCUUGGAGUUUUAGCCAAACCAUAAAUUAUUUGAGAUUUUCAGUCAAAAUUGUAAAUAAGAUUGUUAAGUAGAAAUUUUAAAAGAUGUAUGUAUUAGUAUCAAUUGUUGUGCUUAGUUAAUCUGUUGGAAAGUGAAUUUUAAAUAAUGUUAGUCAGUUAUCUAGAAUUUCUAUCAUCCAGAACCUGGACUCAGUGAGCGGAUCAGGAAUUAGGUGUGUAAUGGCCCAUUUUCAGUGAAAUCAGAAUAGUGGUUUCGGGACCACAAAUCCAGAGUCAAAAGUUUUACUUAAUAUUUUUUAUGUGGUAUAAAACAUGUUAGAAGUAUGGUAUAAAAUUUCGUUAAGAAAUUUUACCGUUUGUUUGCUAAAUUUGUGAAAAAGGACUAAAUCGCAUAAAGUGCGAAAGUUGUGUUCUAUUAGCUAAAGGUAUUAAAUAGAUAUAGAAUGUUAAAUUACAGGUCCUUAUUGAGUAAUUAGACCAUUAAAGAAGGUAGUGGAUGUACAUGGGGUGAAAUCAUAAAUAGUCAAAGUUGGUAAGGGGUUAGUAAAUUGUUGACUAAUGUUAAAGUAAAUAAAAGAAAAACAAAAUGGCCAUCUUCUUCUUUCUUUUUCAACCAAAAAUACCAUCAAACUAAGAGCUUGGAAAGCUUGAAUUUUUCAGCCGCAAAGUCCCUUGCAUGUAAGUGAAAUUGGUGUUUGUUUUUGUUUAUUGUUAUUUUUGUGGAACCCUUGUAGCUUAAGCUAGCUAAAUAGGGACAAAUUUGCAAAAUGGUUGAAACGCUAGGGUUUUUCCAAGAAAGCAUGAUAGUUUUUUUAAAAUUUUAAUGGAAUAAAAUGAAAAUUUGGGUGUUAAACACUUUUUGUUAAGUGAUUUUUGACAUAAAAUUCAAUUAGGGGUUAAUUUGUGAAGUAUGAAGAUUUUGAGUUAUAUGUGUGAAAUUAGGGCUUAUGUGGGCUUCUAUGAGCACCUAGAUAAUUCAGUUAAGCUUUGAUGUGGAUGAAAUUGCAUAAAUUUCGUUUUACGAGCCUAGGGACUAAUUUGUAAAAAAGUUAAAAGUAUAGGGGUAAAAUGGUAAUUUUUCCCUAAUAUGAAACUGGAUUGAAUUGAAUAGAAUAAGCAUUGAAUUAGUUAAAUUUGAUUAUAUAGAUCAAGAAAAGCAACAUUUAGACAUAAAUCGAGGCAAAGAUAAAGUGGUAGAUUGAUCGAUCGAUUUAAUCCGUACAAUUACGAGGUAAGUUCGUACAAUUAAACAUUUAAUGUUUAUUUAUUUAAUUGAUGAAUGAUAUUAUGCACUUGUACAUAUCUAUUGUUGAACUUUGAAAUGGAAUUAAAUGUUCAAACAAGUAAAUCGCAGGAUUGAGUAUAAAUGUUUUAUGCAAAUGAGGAUUUUACGGAUAAGACCAUGGUUGGACCAUGGCAACAUUAGUAUGUAAGACCAUAGCCGGGCUAUGGCAUUCUGAUGAUAAGACUAUAACUGGGUUAUGGCACUACGAAUGUAAGACCAUGGUAGGGUCAUGGCAUUUCGCGUAAAAGACCAUAGUUGGACUAUGGCACAAGGAAAACAAUGUACUCAUAUCCGUAAGCCGAUCUCAGAUUCAGAAUGAUGAGGUAAAUGCAUUCAUCGAUAUUUAAAUAAUCCAAUGAGCUCAGUAAUAAUACGAGUUGAGUCGAGUUAAAGUAAAUCAGUGUAGGUAUUCGCAAGAAUUACAAAAAAUAAUUCAUAGUGGAGGUAGCUAUACAACAUUAACCUAAUUACGAUUAUGUGAUAAGCUUUGAGUCGAAUUGUAAAUUUCCUGUGUAUUAAUUUUGAUAAGUUAAAUUGUGGAUGCUUUGGAAGGUUUUUUUAAUAUUCAUACGAACUUAUUAAGCUUAAUUACUUACUCGAUUUAUGUUUCAGUGUUUUAUAGUGAAUUGGAAGCUCACUCGAUUCGGAAGUCGUCGGAGAUCGCGUCACACUAUCAAACUCUCAUUUUGGUAUUUUAAACUUUGUAUAUUUUGGGUUAAAUGGAACGUAUAAGUGUUUUGGUUAAGGUAGCCUAUAUGUUGGUUGUAUAAUUAGCUAAGUGAGUUGGCUUGAGAAUGAUAUAUGUUUUGAUAUGUAAGUAUGUAUAUAUAUGGCCUUUUGAUAUGUUAUGUAUAGUGGCUUUGUGAAUGCCUUGUUGUGGAUUGGUAUCUUGUGUAACAAAUGGUUGGAAUUGAGAUGAGCAUGUAUGCUAAGUUAGGCAUAAGGUUUAAAACAUGUAAUUGGCCAUUUAGUUAUACUUUACAAUUAUCUUUGGUAUGUUUAAAAGUGGUCAAAUGAAUGUGCUUGUGGAGAUCAUGUUGUAUGUGUGGUUUGUGUAUGGUAUAAACUUGAUAUUGGUUUGCUUAAAGUGCCUAUUUAUGCCAUGGUUGUAUGUACAUUAUUGAGUUUAGGUUGGCACCACUUUGGGUGAGGAAUAUGGCUUGGAAAAUAGCCUAUUUUUGUCCACACGGGCAGAGACACGGGCAUGUGUCUCGGCCGUGUGUCCCCUGAUACUAUUCAAAAAUCAAAGUUAAUGGCUUCACACGGUCUAGCACACUAGCGUGUGGGUUAGCCGUGUGGCACAAGUCAGUAUACCCUCCAAUUUUAGCACAGCCGAGCACAUGACCUGAAUAUGGGCGUGUAUGGCCAUUUCAUGAGGCACACGGCUUGACACACGGGAGUGUGGUUUGGCCGUGUGAGCCAAGUCAAAGAGUUGUACGGGGUCGGACAUGGGUUGGGACAUGGCCAUGUGAUCCCAUUUCGAAUGCGCAUACGGCCUGAGACACAGGUGUGUCUCUUGGCCAUGUGAGAGUCACGGUUGGGGUACACAGACGUAUGACCUCUGUACUUUGAAAAUUUUCAAUAUUUUUUCAAAACUUUCCUGGGUUAUCAGUUUAGUCCCGAAUCACUUCUAAUGCUUAUUUUGGGCCUCUAGGGCUCGUGUUAGGGACUAUAUGAUUGUAUUUGAAUGGUUUUUGUUUGGAUUGAGAAUUAAACACAAAAUGUAUGAUGGUUUGAGUUAUAAGUCCAGUAAUACUCUGUAACACUGUUUUGGCAUCGUAUACGGGUUAAGGGUGUUACAUUUAUUGGUAUCAAAGCUACGGUUUAGUUGAUUCUAGGACUAACGCAGUGUGUGUGAGUCUAGCUAUACAUGCCAUUUAUUAACCUUUGAUAUUGUGACAUCUCUUAACAGUUUAAAAUCGUGUUUUCUAAUAGUAAUGGAUCUAAAUUGAGCAAAUUUCGAUGAUGUUAAAAAUAACGCGCCAGCCACAGUUUGGGGGGUAACAUUAUUUGACUAUUUACAUGCGUCUGGGAGUCAUGGAGGAGAAGCUAAGGAAACCUUCUUCCAAAUGAUGAGCGAAUGGUACACCAAGUUUGUACGGACGAACUUGGCUAUUCAACAACCGCCACCUAUUCCCUAACAGGUUCCCGUAGCUCCUCAAGGUUUGGAACCUUUACGUAUGAGUAGACCACAUGUUGAUAAAAUUUGAAAGUACGGGGCUGAAGAGUUUAGAGCUAUAGUUGAUGAUGAUCUCGAGAGCCGAGUUUUGGCUUAAGAAUACAAUUCGAGUUUUUGAUGAUCUGUCUUGUACACCGGCAAAAUAUCUUAAAUGUGCUGUAUCAAUUCUGAGAGAUACUGCCUAUCAGUGGUGGAACACCUUGAUAUCGGUAGUACCGAGAGAAUGAGUCACGUGAGAAUUCUUUCAAGCUGAGUUUAGGAAGAAAUACAUAAGUCAAUGGUUUCUAAAUCAAAAGCAUAAAGAGUUUCUAGAAUUGAAACAAGGCCGUUUGACUGUGACAAAGUACGAAAGAGAAUUUGUAAGAUUAAGUAUGUAUGCUCGGAAGUGUGUUUCUAUUGAAGAAAUCAUGUGUAAGCGAUUCGUAGAUAGUUUGAAUGAAGACAUUAAGCUUUUAGUCAAAAUUCCAGAAUUGAAAGAGUUUGUUGUCUUGGUCGAUAGAGCUUGCAAAGCUGAAGAGCUUGGUAAAGAAAAGAAAAUAGUCGAUUCUGAGGCUAAAGAUUCAAGAAAGACGGGAAAAUCUUAUCACUCAUUGUCAAAGAAAUCAAAGGAUUUCCACAAUCGUUCAACCGCUUUAGUGGGAUAUUCUAACCUAGACCGUGGUAAACAAUACGUAGGUUCAAAAAAUGAAGCCACUUCAAUAACAAGCGUUGGUAGUGUUAAAGCCAAUAGACAAGAAUGUCAGCGAUGUGGAAGACGACAUUUUAAAGAAUGUCAAUUGAUUGACAGAGCCUGUUUUAGAUGUGGCUCGCUUGAGCAUUUCAUUCGUGACUGCCCUGAAUUAUCUGAGAAAGACAAACUUCAGACCGCUCGACCGAGCAAUACAUUUGCUAGAGGGCGACCACCCCAAAAUACUGAAAUAUGAGUGGUAGUUGAGGUACAACGAGAGACUCUACUGUAAGAUCUGAGGCAUGAGCACCAACUAAAGCUUAUGCCAUUCGCGUUCGAGAGGAUGCAUCGGCACCAGAUGUUAUCACUGGUACAUUUUCUCUUUGUAACACUGAUGUAAUUGCUUUGAUUGAUCCGGGAUCAACUCAUUCUUAUGUAUGUACAAAGUUAGUGUCUAGUAAGAGUUUACAUGUCGAGUCCACUGAAUUUAUGGUUAAAGUAUCGAACCCCUUAUGUCAGUAUGUAUUAAUUGAUAAAGUCUGCAAGAAUUGUCCUUUGAUGACUCGGGGUUACACUUUUUCGGCCGAUUUGAUGAUUUUACCGUUUGACGAGUUUGAUGCGAUAUUCGGUAUGGAUUGGCUGACAAUGCAUGAUACGAUUGUGAAUUGUAGAUGAAAGACCAUUAUAUUAAAAUGUUAGAACGGUGAUACUCUUCGUAUCGAAUCCGAUAAUUUUAAUAGUUUGCCUAUUGUGAUAUUGGCUAUGCUAGUAUAGAAAUAUGUGAGGAAGUGUUGUGAUGCUUACCUUGCGUACGUGCUCGAUAGAAAAGUGCCUGAAUCGAAGAUUGAAUCAGUACCAGUGGUUCCAGAUGUGUUUCCGGAAGAGUUACCUAGGUUACCACUGAUCAGAGAGGUCGAGUUCACUAUUGAGUUAGUACCGGGAACAUCACCAAUAUCGAUAGCUCCGUCCAGAAUGGCUUUGACCGACUUGAAAAAAUUGAAAGCUCAGUUGCAGGAGUUAACAGAUAGAGGUUUUGCACGAUCGAGUUUUUCGCCUUGGGGUGCACUGGUAUUAUUUGUAAGAAAGAAAAAUGGAUCAAUGAGAUUGUGUAUCUACUAUCGAGAGCUUAAUAAGGUUACGAUUAAGAAUAAGCAUCAUUUGUCGAGGACUGAUGAUUUGUUCAAUCAGUUGAAAGGAGUAGUAGUAUUUUCAAAGAUUGAUUUAUGAUCCGACUAUUAUCAGUUGAGGGUUAAAGACUCUGAUAUGUCGAAAACUACAUUUAGGACUUGGUAUGGACAUUAUGAAUUUCUUGUUAUGCCAUUUGGAUUAACUAAUGCUCCUGCAGUUUUUAUGGAUUUGAUGAAUAUAAUUUUUAGACCUUAUUUAGACAGAUUCAUGGUUGUAUUCAUUGAAGAUAUUCUGAUCUAUUCGCGAGAUGAGUCUGAACAUGCUGAGCACUUGAGGAUUGUGUUACAAACGUUGAAAGAUAAGCAACUAUUUGCUAAAUCUAGCAAGUGCAAGUUUUGGCUCCGAGAAGUUGGAUUUUUGGGACACAUUGUUUCGGCUGAAGGCAUUAGAGUUGAUUCGAGCAAAAUUUCAGCAAUUGUUGACUGGAAACCACGGAGAAACAUAUUCGAAGUCAGAAUCUUUCUGGGUUUAGCAGGCUAUUGUUGGAGAUUUUUUAAAGGUUUCUCUAUUAUAGCUACACCAAUGACUCGGUAAUUACAAAAAAGAUGUGAAAUUCGUGUGGUCUAAAAAAUGUCAAUAGAGUUUUGAGCAGUUGAAAACAUUGUUAACUGAGGCACCAGUUCUGGUUCAACCUAAGUCGGGUAAAGAGUUUGUGAUUUUCAGCGACGCGUCAUUGAGUGGUUUAGGUUGUGUUUUGAUGGAAGAGGGAAAAGUGAUAGCUUAUGUUUCCAAGCAAUUGAAACCGCACAAAAAGAAUUAUCUGACGUACGACUUAGAGUUGGCCGCUAUUGUUUUCGCAUUGAAAAUUUGGUGACAUCAUUUAUACAGUGAAAAGUGCCAUAUCUUUACCGACCACAAGAGUUUGAAGUAUUUAAUGACUCAGAAAUUUUUGAAUUUGUGACAACGAAGAUGGCUCGAGUUGUUGAAAGAUUAUGAAUUGGUGAUUAUCACCCGGGGAAAGCGAAUGUAGUAGCAGAUACCUUGAGUAGAAAAUCUUUAUUUGCAUUGUGAGCAAUGAAUGUGCGAUUGAGCUUGUCCAAUGAUGAUUCGAUUUUACCUGAAUUAAAAGCUAGACCGAUGUUCUUACAACAAAUUUGUGAAGAUAAAAAAUGAGAUAGCAAAUUGCAAGCUAAAAGAGUACAGUGUGAGUCGAUUUUUGAUUCAGAGUUUCAGAUCAAAUCCGUUGAUUGCUUAUUAUUCCGAGGUAGAGUUUCAGAAGUGCACAGUGGUAGCUUGUCUGUUCCAUCGGAAAGUACUAAGAUGUGUAGUGAUUUGAAACAAAUGUACUGAUGGACGGGUAUAAAAUGUGACAUUUCUGAGUUUAUGUCGAAAUGAUUGACUUGUUAGCAAGUCAAAGCUAAACACCAAGUACCUUCGGGGCUAAUAAUAAUAUCCCCAAACCGAUGGUCAGUCUGAGAGAGUGAUUCAAAUUCUCGAGGAUAUGCUUCGUUGUUGUGUUUUGGAGUUCGAAGGUAAUUGGGAAAAAUAUUUACCUUUGGUUGAAUUCACGUAUAAUAAUAGUUUUCAAUCGAGUAUUAAGAUGGCAUCGUAUGAAGCUUUGUAUGGUCGAAAAUGUCGAACUCCAUUGUAUUAGACUGAGCUUGGUGAGAAAAAGAUACACGGGGUUGACUUGAUCCGAGAAAUCGAAGAGAAGCUGAAAGUGAUUCGCGACAGCUUAAAAGCUGCUUCAGAUCAACUGAAAUCUUACGCGAAUUUGAAGCAUAAAGAUAUUGAAUUUCAGGUUGGCAAUAAAGUGUUUUUGAAAGUAUUUCCUUGGAAAAGAAUUCUUCGAUUUGGUUGCAAAGGAAAGUUGAGUCCACGAUUUAUUGGACCGUAUGAGAUUAUCAAGAGAAUUGGGCCAGUAGCUUAUCAACUUGAGUUACCGUCUAAGUUGGAAAAGAUUAAUAAUGUAUUCCAUGUAUCUAUGGUACGACAGUACUGAUUGGACCCUUCGCUUAUAAUUUCUCCAACCGAGGUUGAGAUUCAACCAAACAUAUCAUAUAUGGAAGAACCGAUCUGAAUUUUGGCAUAUAAGGUCAAUAAAUUGAGAAAUAAAAGAAUACCCUUAGUGAAAGUUCUUUUGCAUCGUCAUGGGAUUGAAGAGGCCACUUGGGAACCCGAGGAAACUUUGAGAAAAUAAUACCCUAACCUAUUUUUCGGUAAAAUUUUCGAGGACGAAAAGUCCUAAGGGGGGAGAGUUAUAACGGCCCAUUUACAGUAAAAUCGAAACAGUGGUUUUAGGACCACAAAUUUGAAAGUCCUAAGGGGGAGAGUUGUAACGGCCUAUUUACAGUGAAAUCGAAACAGUGGUUUUAGGACCACAAAUUUGGAGUCAAAAAUUUUAUUUAAUAUUUUUUAUGUGGUCUACAACAUGCUACAAGUAUGGUAUAAAAAUUUCGUUAAGAAAUUUUAACGUUUGUUUGCUCAAUUUGUGAAAAAGGACUAAAUCGCAUAAAGUGCGAAAGUUGUGUUCUAUUAGUAAAGGUAUUAAAUAGAUAUAGAAUGUUAAAUUACAGGUCCUUAUUGAGUAAUUAGACCAUUAAAGAAGGUAGUGGAUGUACAUGGGGUGAAAUCAUAAAUAGUCAAAGUUGGUAAGGCGUUAGUAAAUUGUUGACUAAUGUUAAAGUAAAUAAAAUAAAAACAAAGUGGCCAUCUUCUUCUUUCUUUUUCAACCAAAAAUACCAUCAAACUAAGAGCUUGGAAAGCUUGAAUUUUUCAGCCGCAAAGUCCCUUGCAUGUAAGUGAAAUUGGUGUUUGUUUUUGUUGAUUGUUAUGUUUUUGGAACCCUUAUAGCUUAAGCUAGCUAAAUAGGGGACUAAUUUGAAAAAUGGUUGAAACGCUAGGGCUUUUCCAAGAAAGCAUGAUAGUUUUUUUAAAAUUUUAAUGGAAUAAAAUGAAAAUUGGUUGGGUGUUAAAUACUUUUUGUUAAGUGAUUUUUGACAUAAAAUUCAAUUAGGGGUUAAUUUGUGAAGUAUGAAGAUUUUGAGUUAUAUGUGUGAAAUUAGGGCUUAUAUGGGCUUCUAUGAGCACCUAGAUAAUUCGGUUAGGCUUUGAUAUGGAUGAAAUUGCAUAAAUUUUGUUUUACGAGCCUAGGAACUAAUUUGUAAAAAAGUUAAAAGUAUAGGGGUAAAAUGGUAAUUUUUCACUAAUAUGAAAUUGGAUUGAAUUGAAUAGAAUAAGCAUUGAAUUAGUUAAAUUUGAUUAUAUAGAUCAAGAAAAGCAACAUUUAGACAUAAAUCGAGGCAAAGAUAAAGUGGUAGAUUGAUCGAUCGAUUUAAUCCGUACAAUUACGAGGUUAGUUCGUACAAUUAAACAUUUAAUGUUUAUUUAUUUAAUUGAUGAAUGAUAUUAUGCACUUGUACAUAUCUAUUGUUGAACUUUGAAAUGGAAUUAAAUGUUCAAACAGGUGCAUCGCAGGAUUUAGUACAAAUGUUUUAUGCAAAUGAGGAAUUUACGGAUAAGACUAUGGUUUGACCAUGGCAACAUUAUUAUGUAAGACCAUAGUUGGGCUAUGGCAUUCUCAUGAUAAGACCAUAACUGGGUUAUGGCACUACGAAUGUAAGACCAUGGUAGGGCCAUGGCAUUUCGCGUAAAAGACCAUAGUUGGACUAUAGCACAAGGAAAACAAUGUACUCAUAUCUGUAAGCCAAUCUCGGUUUCAGAAUAAUGAGGUAAGUGCAUUCAUCGAUAUUUAAAUAAUCCAAUGAGCUCAUUAAUAAUAUGAGGUGAUUCGAGUUAAAGUAAAUCAGUGUAGGUAUUCGCAAGAAUUACAAAAAAUAAUUCAUAGUGGAGGUAGCUAUACAACAUUAACCUAAUUACGAUUAUGUGAUAAGCUUUGAACUGAAUUGUAAAUUUUCUGUGUAUUAAUUUUGGUAAGUUAAAUUGUGGAUGCUUUGGAAGGUUUUUUUUAGUAGUCAUACAAACUUACUAUGCUUAAUUGCUUACUCGGUUUAUGUUUCAGAGUUUUAUAGUGAAUCAGAAGCUCACUUGAUUCGGAAGUCAUCGGAGAUCGCGUCACACUAUCAAACUCACAUUUUGGUAUUUUAGACUUUGUAUAUUUUGGGUUAAAUGGCACGUAUAGGUGUUUUGGUUAAGGUAGCCUAUAUGUUGGUUGUAUAAUUAGCCAAGUGAGUUGGCUUGAGAAUGAUAUAUGUUUUGAUAUGUAAGUAUGUAUAUAUAUGGCCUUUUGAUAUGUUGUGUAUAGCGGCUUUGUGGAUGCCUUGUUAAGGAUUGGUAUCUUGUGUAGCAAAUGGUUGGAAUUGAGAUGAGCAUGUAUGCUAAGUUAGGCAUAAGGUCUAAAGCAUGUAAUUGACCAUUUAGUUAUACUUUACAAAUAUCUUUGGUAUGUUUAAAAGUGGUCAAAUGAAUGUGCUUAUGGAUAUCAUGUUGUAUGUAUGGUUUGUGUAUGGUAUAAACUUGGUAUUGGUGUGCUUGAAGUGGCUAUUUAUGGCAUGGUUGUAUGUACAUUGUUGAGUUUAGGUUGGCACCACUUUGGGUGAGGAAUAUGGCUUGGAAAAUAGCCUAUUUUUGUCCACACGGGCAUGUGUCUCGGCCGUGUGUGACACAGGGCCGUGGUACACGGCCGUGUGUCCCCUAAUACUAUUCAAAAAGCAAGUUAAUGGCUUCACACGGUCUAGCACACAGCCGUGUGGGUUAGCCAUGUGGCACAAGUCAGUAUACCCUCCAGUUUUAGCACGGCCUGAACAUGGGCCUGUGUGGCCAUUUCAUGAGGAACACGGCCUGACACACGGGCGUGUGGUCUGGCCGUGUGAGCCAAGUUAGAGAGUUAGACGGGGUCGAAAACGGGCUGGGACACGGCAUGUGAUCCCAUUUCAAAUGCCCAUAUGGCUUGAGACACGGGCAUGUCUCUUGGCCUUGUGAGAGACACGACUGAGGUAUACGGGCGUGUGACUCUUGUACCUUGAAACUUUUUAAUAUUUUCUCAAAACUUUCUUGAGUUAUUGGUUUAGUCUCGAAUCACUUCUAAUGAUUGUUUUGGGCCUCUAGGGCUCGUGUUAGGGACUAUAUGAUUGUAUUUUUGAAUAGUUCUUGUUUGGAUUGAGAAUUGAACAUGAAAUGUAUGAUGGUUUGAGUUAUAAGUCUAGUAAUACUCUGUAACCCUAUUCCGGCGUCGAAUACGGGUUAAGGGUGUUAUAAGGUGUUACACGAAGUCCAUGACGAAUGCGCAAAUAGCGUCCCAUGGAGGUCAAUUGAUGAAAUAGGGCUCAUUCGACCCAUUUGAACUGGCCCAAUUCGUAGAACACGUGGAGAAGCCUAUAUACUUGAAGCAUUGGUAGUCUAGUGAAACACUUAAUGAAAAUUAGUUACCUUGGUAAAUAUGACAAGUAAUCUUAUAAGAUGUGUAAUUCGAUAAAACUUGAUUAUGUAAUAUUAAGGGAUUGUGUAAAACCUUUAAGAAUCUCAAUUUUAAGUAGGCUGUAAUCUUGAUCGUCAAUGUAAUUUAAUUUGUACCAUGGGAUUUUGGGGAGUUUAAAUAUAAAUAGAGGCCUCCCCCCUCAUUUUUAAUCACUCAAUUGUAAUUCUUCAUAGUAAUUGAAUACUAUUGAGAGCAUUUACUCAAACACUUGACGUGCUUUUUCUUUCUUGUGACUUUUCUAUUUUUUUGUUACUUUUUUGUUUUGAGUUGCUUCCACUUUAUUUUCAGUGCGUUGGAGAAUUUUAUCAAGAAUUCUCACUUUGUGAGAGAUUGGUUGACUUAGGCAAAUUUGAAGAAAAGAAAUCACCUAAGGUCGCAUAGAUUGCGAAACUAAAGUUCUAACCCCAUGAUAUAGACAAGUACCCUAAACAUCCUUCCAAAAUUUAGUGCUACACCCAUUGCCAAUUGAUGAAUGAAUGUUGCACAUAAUAUCAUCUCAAACCCUUGCAAUGGACUGCCAAACAUGAGAAGCAACUGGUUGAUUAAUACUGGCUGGACAUGUUUCCACCAUGUUAUAUUUAGAUUGCAAAAUUCGAACCCAUAAAGCUUAUUUGUUGGUCAAAAUUGUGAAGCCUAAUUUCAUUAGGAAAGAAUGGUUAUUCACAUUCAAUUUUCGAAUGCCUAAACCUCAUGCUCAUAGGGUUUUGGCAACAUGGGUUCCAAGACACAGGAGUUGGCUUCUUCGAAUCAAUACCCCCUCAAAUAAAGCUUCUAACAAUGUUCUCGAUUUCCAUACAAAUGUCUAUAGGGAUCUUAGUAAUUCGCAUGUAAUAAGAAGAGAUUGAGAAUAACACUGACUUAGCAAGCAUAACACAAUUCGGUAACGAAAUAACUCUAACAUCCCAUCCAUUAACUGCUCACGAACUUUCUCAACAAUAAAGCGGAAUGUAUCUUUGGUGACCCUUUUAUGAAAAAGUGGAAUACCCAAGUGCUUUCUCAAAUUUGAAACUCGUUGGAAGCCCAGGGUACUUCACCAUGUUUUACUAUAUGAGUUAGUGAUAGACUAAUUUCAAUUGGUAAUUUUUAGCCACUCACAUGGCUUGUUUCGAGAAAAAAGGAAAAUUUUCUGCUUAUUUUGAAGAUGCAUUUUUUUUACUAGAGUUUUUACUCAUCUUUCUAAUUUCAAGUGUAAAUUUGCACUAGCUAUUCUUUAUUUUAUGUCUAACUAUUGUAAUACAUAUAGAAUAAAUGAGUCUUUUCCUCAUGUUCUUACAUGAGAAACCAAACAAGUCAUAAAUGAUAAAUAUACUAUUUGAUACUUUAUUUUGGCUUCAAUGUUCAAUUUGGCACCUCAAUUUUUUUUGUCUCAAUUUGGUAUCUAAGUUUGGAUUUGAUUUUCACUUUAGUACGUACUUUUUUUUAAUUUCAUACUUGAGUUUUUUUUGUCAUACACCAAAAUUCCAUUAUAUGUCAAAAUUUUGGAUCCAUGAAUUUGCAUAGUUUUGAGUAGUUUGAAGGUUGGGAAUUAUUCUUAAAUAUAUAAUUAGAUUAUUAAAAUCGAUUAUAAGUAAUGUGAAUGAGUAAAGAUUAAGAUAUUUUAAUUUCAAGUUUGUUAUGUCGAAAGUUUCGAUUUCAAGAGAAUUUAGCUUAGGCCUAUGUUUUUAGAUAAUUUUGGUGAGUCCUUGGCUGAAUGUUGAUUGUGUUGUUGUGUGAAUUAUUUGGUUGAAGCUUUGGAAUCGUUAAGACCUUCUACGAGUAAAGAGAAAGGUAAGGAAAAGAUAGUUUGAGCUUUCGGCGUCUAGGUGAAAGCGUGAAUGGUGAGUGUUUGGAAUCGCUACUUGUAGACACGAUUAAUUGCGUUAAUUGGGAAUUUAGAAGUAGCCUAAACCUCUACUCUAAAUUCCGAGUGUAAGCUUUCUCAUACUAUUGAUUUAAUAUGUGAUUGUGUGUUGUGAAUUUGUGGAUUAAGAUAUGAUAUUAUAACAUGUGAAAUAAGCUUAUGAUGGUUAUUGUGAAAGAGUUGAUUGUGGGCAUGUUAUACGUGCCAAAUAACAGUGAUUAUGUUGUGUUUAUAAUGUGAAUAUGUGGUGAAAAGUGCAAAAAAUGGUAAGUAAUAUGUGUGUUUAAUAACGAAUAUUUUGGCCUUGUGAUUUUUGAGAUCGUUGGAUAUAGUUGACAUGCCAUAGGAUUGUGAGUACUCACCUAUAUAUGUUGUGUUUUGGGGGUGUUAAGGCCUGGGACAUUUUAGAAGAGAUAAGGGAAUGUGAGCUAAGCUCCAUUCACUGGGAUAUGUUGGUGUGUUGGAGAGUUUUAGCUAUAUGCUUCACUUUUGGGAUAUGUUCAACUCUACGAGUCAUUUGGUGUGUUGGAGAUCUAUGUAUCCGAUGUAUGGUGAUAGAGCCCACUUUUAUGUUUCAUAGCUCAAGUGCCAAAUUAUCAUUAAAUGUGAUUAUGUGUGAUGUGAUAUAAGCUUAAAUGAGUUUGUGACUUCUAUGUAAACGACCAUUUGAAUAAUGCAUGAUUAAGUAAUAUGACGCUAAAGUUGGAAAUGUUGUAAUUGGGCUAUAUGAAUGCUUUGUUAAUGCAUGAUGACAUGUUUGCGUAAUAGUUAUUCUGAUCAUUCACUGAGCUUGUUUAAGCUCAUCCACUCCUUUUUAAACCUUUGCAGGCUGUUAAGCAUUGCGGUGUGAGCGGUGCGAAAUAUUUUCCAAUGGACUAAUCUAAGUAGUUUAGCAUUUGAGUAGGUGAAUUAUAGUAUUAUUCUGAACUGUGGGAAUAAGGCAAUGUAGUAGACUUGUUGCUUGAAUGCUGCCAUGAUGUUUUGGGAUGAUUACUUGGACUUGCUACUCACAGAAUUUAUAGACGUUUGACAUUGGUUUAUUGGUAUUACUUAGCUUAAACUAUUGUUGAUGCUUUGAGUUGUAUUUCCGGAUCAUUUUGAUGCUAAACUUUGAGCUUAUAAAUGCAUGAUUAGUUGGUAUGUUAGAUGUUCUAGUUUGAUGUUAUUUUUGUUGAAUUAUGCAGAGGUAUCGAUAACUAGGACAUAUGUAUUGAUACCUGUGUAAUUUAGUCGGUGUCGCAACAUCUAGUGCUUGUGUCGCGAUACUGAAGACAGUAUGCUCGAUUCCUGAUUCAGCCCCAGUAGUGUGUCGCGACAUCAAAGGCAGUCUUGGUAUAUGUGUAAAGCUUUGAUGUUUGAUGUAGCUUCCUGUUACUUGGGUUUGACAAUUGGGCUGAGUACGGGAUGUUACAUUUUUUUGUCCUGGUUAAGUACCUUAAUUUGGCUUCAAUUUUCAUUUUAGUAUUUGAGCUUUUUAUGUCCCAAUUAAGUGCCUAUUUUCUUUUUUACUAGAGCACACAUGCCAAAUAUUAGUUGGGCCACAUGAUAUUUGGCUUAGGUACCAAAUUGGACAUUGAAGCCAAAUUCUAGUACCAAAUUGAAAAAAAAAACCUCAAGUGUCAAAUUAAAUAUUAAAUUCAAACUUAGGUACCAAAUGAUAUUUUAAAGCAAUAUUAAAUCCAUGACCUUAAAGUAUUUAUUAACCCAAUUACCCAAACUUCAUUGGUAUUGAACUUAAAAAAACUUAGCCUUUAACAUUUAUAUUUUAUAUUUCUUUUUGUCAAUUUGACCCUUAUUUUAUUUUUAAACUAAAUUUGACCUUCAACCUUUUAAAAAGAGUAAAAUUUGACCAUCAAUCUUUCAAAAAGAGUUGAAUUGUUUUUUUAAUGGAAAAACUGACUAAAACAUUAAAUUUUUAAACAUUGUAGAUUAUAUGGCAAUUCACGUGUACUUCAUACUAUUUUUUAAAAUUUUAUGAACUUUUUAUAUUCUUUAAUUUUAAUUUGUUUAAUAUUUUAUAAAUUUUAAAUUAUUUGUUGAUGUAACAUAUAAGAUAAAUAUUGUUAUGUUAGCAUGUAGUACACAUGGAUUGUCAUGCAGGUUGCCAUACCAAUAUUGUUACAAAAAGUUAAUGUUUUAGUCAAUAUUUUUGUUAAAAAAAGUGAGUUAACUCUUUUUGAAAUAUUAAUGACCAAAUUUAGCUAAAAAAUAAGACUAAAAUUAAUAAAAUAUAUAAACAUUGAGAAUUAAAUUUAGGCAUAAUAAUUUUUUGGGCCUUCCAACUUUACAAAAGAAGUCAUUGUAGCUCUUCAUUUAUUUUUCGUCUUUUUUAACACUUGAACUUGCGGUUUUUUUUUUUGUCAAGUCACCCAAAAAUGAAUGGAAAUGUUAACAUUUAUUUAACAUUGUUGACAUUGCAUAUAUGUGGAUUACCAAGUGGAUAACACAUUAACAUUUAAUUAUUUUUUAAAAUUUUUAAAAAUAUUUUUAAAAAAUUAUAAUUUUUAAUAAGUUUUAUGAUUUUAAAUUUAUGAGGUGAUAUAGAAAGAAACCUACCUCAUUUGGACUUUCACUUUGUAUGCAAAAUCUUGGCCAAGUCGCCGUACAUAAGUUUAACAGUAGGUUAAAAUAACGAUCUUGGAAGAAUAGUAACUUGUUGUCAUUAAGGCAUAUCUUGAAAUUUUAUGGAUAUUAUUAAGAUUUCAAUAAAGUAGGCAAAACAGUACAAUAUGACACAUAGUUUAGAGUCGUCCAAAGGAAAUUCUACAGAGCUUAGGGAUAUUUUAGGAAGAUAUGGGAAUGAUAGGCUUUUAAGUUGUUAGUUUAGUUAGUGUUUUUCAACAUUAUAUUUCUAUUUUGGUGAAUUACAAGAAGAGAGUAAAGUCCUAAUAGCAACGCGACUAACACGAUUCAAACCCAGACCAUACCUGCGGCAGUAAACACUUUGAUCAUCAAGUCAACACAUUAGGUUCUCAACAUUGCAUCUUUACAUUUUGUAUUAGAGUUAACAAACUGGUUGAAAAAAUGUCCCUAAAAGUAUAUCAAAUGCCAACACUAUAAUUAGUAAAUUAGAUAAAAAAAUUUCUAUAGCAAGAACUAUAAAAAUUUAUAUUUAUCUACUGUGAGAUAGAAAAAAAAAAGCAAGAAUCACCAUUUCCAUUUUUUAAAAUAAUUUUUACCAUGUUCUAAUAAUUUCUUUUAUUUUUUAUAUUUUAAAAGAAUUAUGCCUACAAAUUAUAAUGAAACAUGGAUAAAAAGAUGUCCAUAUUUAAAUAAAUUUAGAUGUCUAUUUAUCUAUAUUCAUUUUCAAUUUGAAUUUUUAAUAUUUUUUUUUGUUAAAUUGAACUGCUAUGUCAAUAUCAUGAUGGUUGAUUAACAACCAUAUUAAUGUGGUAAUAAUUAAUGGUGAGAUUAAUUAGUCAACACGCCUAAUGAAGAUAAUUAAUAUUUUUUUAGAGAAAAUUUCAACUUGUAGGACCAUUUACCUUUAUUUUUUUCUUGGGGUGGUUGAUUAUCUUUUCUUCUUUUGUUGCUUUGACUUGUAUAAAUUUUCGGGUAAUAUACAAAUAAAAGCCCUUUUUUUUAAAAUUUACUAAAAUAGGUCAGGUAAAAAAUUAAUUACUGGAAUUACUCUAUUUCCCCGAAAACGCGUCCACGUCAACGCGUUGUCAGGGUUUUGGGUUUUGGGUUUAGGGUUUGGGUUUUUGGGUUUUUAGGUUUAGGUUUUUAAAGAAAAAAUUAAAUAAAUAAGGGAUUAGGGUUUAGGGUUUCUUAAUUAAAUUAAUUAUAAAUUUUUCAAAAUUAGAUUAGGGUUUCGCGUUUAUGGUUUUUAAAGAAAAAUCAAUUAAAUUAGGGUUUAGGGUUACUUGAGUAAAUUAAUUAAAAAAAUUUUAAAAAUUAGAUUAAGGUUUAGUGUUAAGGGUUUUUAAGGAAAAAUCAAAUAAGUUAGGGUUUAGGGUUAUUUAAGUAAAUUAAUUAUAAAUUUUAAAAAAAUUAGAUUAGGGUUUAGUGUUUAAGGUUUUUAAGGAAAAACUCAAAUAAAUUAGGGUUUGGGGUUUAGGAUUACUUAAUUAAAUUAUUUGUUAAUUGAGAAAAGCUCCCACGUGGACGCUCUUUUGCUACAGUAGCUCCUGAAAAAAUAAAUUCGAGGAGACGUUUCUGAGCAAAUAGUGUCAAAAACGCUUUAAGCAGGAUGCAUUGUCAGCAAAAGUAUUGAAAAAAGCUCCCACGUGGACGCGCUUUUACUACAGUAGCUCCUGAAAAAAUAAUUUCGAGUAGACGUUUCUGAGUAAAUAGUGUCAAAAACGCUUUAAGUAGGAUGCUUUGUCAGCAAAAGUAUUGAAAGAAGCUCCCCCGUGGACGAGCUUUUGCUACAGUAGCUCCUGUUUGGCCUGAGGCUAUAAAUGAGGCAAAAUUUUUUCUCAGAUUGCAUAAGUUACAGCAAAAAAAAUUAGAGAGCCUAAGAAGGAUAGAAAUUGAAGAUGAGUGAAUGUAUUAGUGUUGUUAUUUACUAUGAUGGUGAGGUUCGUCACACUGAGAACGGUGUUAUUUUUUUAUCGGAGAAUACAGUGCGACUGGUUUUUAACCAGAACAUAGAUUUGAUAGAACUUCAUAAAAGAAUUAGGCGUAAAAUAUUAGAAACGACGUCAAUGAAAGUUUUAUCUAUUACGUAUCGGUUUUGUUCUUCUGUUGAUCCGGUGACAUAUGACUCGUUCGACAUAAAAUGUGCUCGUAGCUUGGAGGCAAUGGUAUAGACACAUCUCGCUAGUGGAGCACACUAUAUUGAGUUAUAUGUACAAUUUACAUCGCCAAAUGAUGCACUUGCGACUGCUGUUCGAGAGGUAUACACGACUCCUGCCUGACACUCGGUUAGUGGGUUACAAAACACGAAACAACCCAUGUUUGGCAGCGGUAUGGUAUACACAACCCUUGUUUGACACCCUGUUAGUGGAUAGGACAUGCACCACGGUAGGUCGAUGUUUGAUGCUGGAAAUACGUACUGGGGAACGGCAUCAACUUCUAGUGGUUGGCAAUCUACAUUCAAUUGGGGACGUUAUGAAAUGCCCAGAAGAAUGGAUAAUAUACUCCCUACGAUGUCCACCGGUGAGGAGACCUCGUACGUUGCAGAUGAUGGUGGGUUAGAAGAUGACUCCAAUGUGGAUCCACCUCAAGAGCCCGGGGUUUGCGAUCGAGACAACUUAUGGUUUCGCGUGACAGAGUUUGACAGACCGCACCAAGGUGUUAUUGGCAGGCAAUAUCGUGUACACUUGCGAAAUAGGACUUGCGACUGUGGGAUGUUUGACGCACUUCGUUAUCCAUGCGCUCAUGUAAUUGUAGCUUGUCAUAAUCUCCGUCUGAAUUCGAUAAGUUAUGUCGACGAAGUGUACAAAUUAGAAAACAUGUACAACGUCUGGAGACACGUAUUCCAACUGAUCCCAGAUGAACGUAAGUGGCUGUCUGUAUUGCUUGCUCCCUUUAAGCUGUUACCGGAUAGAGAAUUGCGUCGCAAACCAAAGGGUCGAUCUUGCUCGACAAGAAUACGUAACAAUAUGGAUAUUCGAGAAACAGCCAGUCAACAGACGUUGUGCGGAUGGUGUAGGAACCUAGGCCAUUCAUGCCGAUCAUGCCCAAAUCACAAUAGUUGAACGUUAUUGUAAAAAACUUUGUAUUAUUUAUAUUUUUUAAAUCAAAUAAUAUAGAAAUAUUCAGAAUACUGACUUAUUUAAAAGAAAAUCUAUUUUAUUAAAAAUAAUAAAGUAAAUUACAAAUACUUUAUUCAAAACAAUGUUUUAUUUUAUUAAAUGAAAUAAUAUAGAAAUAUUCAAAAUAUUGUGUUAUUUAAAAGAAUUUCUAUUAUAUUAAAAAUGUAAAUGUAAAUUUCUAUUUUAUUACAUGAAAUAAUAUAGAAGAAUUUCUAUUUUAUUACAUCAAAUAAUAUCAAAAUAUUCAAAAUAUUUGUACAAAUAUAUUAAAAUAAAAAUCAAUCUCCGUGCCCACCGAAUUCAGUGCCACAUGGUGGCCAUCGAUGGUUACGCGCUGGAUUCCUCAUUUGUCUAGCUUCCGGUGGGGGUUAUGGUUGUUCCCACGGGGAUUCUGGUUCCUCCGGUAGGGGAUAUGGUUGUCGGUGUUGGGAUGAUGAGCCACCUUGAGAGAAUAGUGAUUGUGGAGGUGUUUGCAUCACCAACGGCAAAGCUGUUUGAAACCCAUAUGGUGAUGGGGAUUGGUAAAAAGAAGAGCUCCCCGACGGCCCCUCCUACGAUCCCUCGUGCGACGGUGGCCUAUACAUCGGUGGCCCACUCGGCGUAAUCGAAAAUGGAGAUGAACCGGACCAUGAACUUUAACCUGUCAUAGGACUAAAAAAAGGAAACAUAUAAGGGUUAGGAUAAAUAAAAGGGCUAGGAUACGCACCUGGCAUCAUCUGAAAAGGUUGUGCUGUGGGUGUCGUCAGUUGAAGUGUUAGGCUGGUGACUGUGUGGAUGCUGUUGCUGGGCCUGGUGAUGGGCCGUGUGAUUGUGAUAGACCUACGUCGUCAUCCCUUCUUCUUGGAUUUAAAGGGCCACGUCGUUCCCUUUGAACACGUAAUUUCUGCUGCCUUUCCUCUGUCGACAGUAAAUACGGCUUGCCAUGGAUUCUAAACCAUUGCAUGUAUUCUGGCACGCACGCUAACUCUAGAAGGAUGAUCGGUUCUCAAGUAGGUAUAUAAUCAUAUUGAUCUUCCUAUAUUUGGAUGUAGUGUGACCAGAAUCUCGGUCAAACCGUAUGCAAUUGCCAUAGGUCGAUUUUGUGAUGAUCAUCCAACACCUCAGGUGCCACGGGAAUCGGUUGUCAUAAUCCAAAUUGUUGUAAUACUCUGUCCGACUGGUGUAUCUCCACGGUCGCAAAGUUGACCAAUGAGACUUUUACAUACCAAGCGUUUGGAUUUUGGAAAUACUCAUUCGGAAUUACAGCUCGAAUUGCCGGAUCCUUGUAUGGUGUCCAUUGGAACUAUAUGAACAUGAUGGAAAUAUUAGUUAUAUACAUAAUACUAAAUACUAAAUACCAAAUACCAAUCGACUAUCUCAUGAUGGAAAUAUCUAUUUGAUUUAAUACUUACUUGUGCUUCCGACAGUUGGUCUAAUAGAAGCCGUAUAUCUUCAAGAAAGGUAGGUAAUCCAACAUAACUUGCCGAAUAGUUCCACCUAAUUAAAUAAAUUUUUAGCAUACGAUUAUAUUUUAAAUCUACGUAAUAAUUGUAAAAUAUAAUAUAAAAUUUACCUCGUUAUGAGUGCGAAUGUAUAUUGGUGGUCCACUUGAGGACGUAAAAGUGGAAAGCGAAACCGUGCCCAUGACUGCAGUAGUGAUAGGCAACCUCCAAUUUUCAUUUUAUUCGGUCGCGUCACCCCGCACAUCUUCCGGUACAAUGUUGCCUACAUGGUAGACCCCCGACUAAAUUCAACAGCUGCUCUAAAAUCAACGAGUUUUAGCAGCCAUCUCAGAUGUACAAGGCUCCGUGACAAGUCCGGUAUCAGAUAACCUCCAAUUAUCUGAGGAAUGUUUGCCCGAGCAUAUCAGAUUCUUUCUAGUUCGGUAGAAUUAUCAUUCGGCUCCGGAAAUGUGUCUCGUAGCCUGCCCAUCUCAAUCCGACCUCUGUUAAUAUUAUCCGGAAUAGCACCCAAAAGCUCGUAGCAUACCGCUCCCCAAUCACCAGAUUGAACAGACCCAGUGACUGCGUACCUGUCCACCGGCAAUCCCAAUUGCAAAUUUACGUCUUCCAAAGUAAUAGUACACUCUCCACAUGGAAGAUUGAAUGUGUGCAUCUCGGGUCUCUACCUCUCAAUCAACGCACUGAUAAGUUUUGGGUCCAACUUGCAUCCCUAGUCUACCGUCGCCACGUGCCAAAAACCUGCUUCCCAUAGGUAAUUCUCUACCAACGGUGAUGGAGGACCAUGCAUAUUACGAAUAUAGCAUUGCAAUAUCCGAUCUAUAGACUUUUAUAAGAAAUAAUAAAAUAAAAAUUAUUUAAAAUUGCAUAAAUCAAAAAAAUCUUAAAUAAUUUUUAAAAAUUAAAUUUAACACUUACCAUUUUCAUUUGUUCAACGGAUAUGUGAUUGUUAUCGAGACGAAUUAAUUUUCUGGCCAUUGCUAACACGAUCAAAUUUUUAUGAUUUAAAAAAAAUCAAAAAAAAUAAAACUAAAUAUUUUUUAAAAAUAAUUAAAAAAUUAAAGUUUUUUUUAGAGGAAUUUGAGAGAAUAUUGGAGAGAAAUUGAGAGAAAGGAUUUAGGUGUGAAAAAAAUAGAAGGGGGUUUUAUAGUUUUUUUUACCGUUGGGGGGUCACCAACAGUCAAAAAGUAGCCGUUGGUAUUGAUCACGCGCGGGCAAGGACGCGCUUUCUGUCCACGUGGACAAAGCGCUUCCUUGAGGAAGUGUUUUCCUGCCUCGUCACCUGACAACGCGCUAACGUAGAUGCGUUUUCGGGGUUAUUUCGGUAAUUAAUUUUUUACCGGGCCCAUUUUAGUAAUUUUUUAAAACAUGGGCUGUUAUUAGUAUUUUGCCUUAAAUUUUCAUUUGUUAUCAUAAAAUUAGUGUUAUAAUUAUUUUGUCACUGUCAAACAUAGAAUGGCGGUCUCUUUUUUCUCUUUUACUAUGUGCAAUUGGGGCAAAUUACCAAUAAAAGUCCCUUUAUUUUUAAAAUUACCGAAAUGGGCCAGGUCCUGAAUUAAUUAUCGAAAUGGGCCAUUUCCCCCAAGAAUGUGUCCACGUCAGCGCGUUGUCAGGGGAUAAAGCAGGAAAACACUUCCUCAAGGAAGCGCUUUGUCCAUGUGGACAGAAAACGCGUCCACAUGGAUAGAAAACGCGUCCUUUAGGGCGCGCUUUGUGUCCACGUGGACAAAGCACUUCCUUAAGGAAGCGUUUUCCUCGUGUCUGCUACAGUACCAACGGCUAUUUUUUUUACCAUUGGUAAUCCUCCGAUGGUAAAAAAAAAAAACUAUAAAACCCCCCUUUCUUUUUUUUUUCACACUUAAAUCAUUUCCAUCUUCAAUCUUUCAAUAUUCUCCCAAAUUUCUCUCAAAUUUCUCUCAAAUUCCUCUCAAAGCUCUGUUUAAUUUUUUUUUAAAAGCUCUAAUUUUAUUUUUUUGGAUUUAUUUUUUUAAAUAAAAAAACUUGAUCGUGUUAGCAAUGGCCGGAGAAUUAAUCGUCUCGAUGAUAAACACAUAUCCGUCGAACAAAUGAAAAUGGUAAGUGCUAAAUUUAAUUUUUAAAUAUUAUUUAAGAUUUUUUUCAUUUAUGCAAUUUUAAAUAAUUUUUAUUUUAUUAUUUCUUAUAAAAGUUUGUAGAUCGGAUAUUGCAAUGCUAUAUCCGUAAUAUGCCUGGUCCUCCAUCACCGUUGAUAGAGAAUUACCUGCGGGAAGCGGGUUUUUGGCACGUGGCGACGAUAGGCCAAGGGUGCAAGUUGGACCCAAAACUCAUUAGUGCAUUGAUAAAGAGGUGGAGACCGAGACGCACACAUUCCAUCUUCCAUGUGGAGAGUGUACUAUCACGUUAGAAGACGUAAAUUUGCAAUUAGGAUUGCAGGUGGACGGGUACGCAGUCACCGGGUCUGUUCAAUCUGGUGAUUGGGGAACGGUAUGCUACGAGUUUUGGGUGCUAUUCUGGAUAAUGUUAACGGAGGUCGGAUCGAGAUAGGUAGGUUACGAGACACAUUCCUGGAGCUGAAUGAUGGUUCUACCGAACUAGAAAGAAUAUGAUAUGCUUAGGCAUAUAUUCUUGAGAUAAUUGGAGUUUAUAUGGUGCCGGACUUGUCACGAAACCUUGUACAUCUGAGAUGGCUGCUGAAACUCGUUGAUUUUAGAACAGCUGGUGAAUUUAGUUGGGGUCUGUCGUGUUGGCAACAUUGUACCGAGAGAUGUACGGGGUGACGUGACCAAAUAAAGAGAAAAUCGGAGGUUGCCUAUCACUACUGCAAUCAUGGACACGGUUUCACUUUCUAUUUUUACGUCUUCGAGUGGUCCACCCUAUACAUUCCCACUCAUAACGAGGUAAAUUUUAUAUUAGAUUUUACAAUUAUUACGUAUAUUUAAAAUAUAAUCAUAUGCUAAAAAUUUAUCUAAUUAGGUGGAACCAUUCGGCAAGUUAUGUUUGAUUACCUACCUCUCUUGAAGAUAUACGGCUUCUAUUAGACCAAUGGUCGGAAGCAGAAGUAAGUAUUAAAUAAAAUACAUAUACAUAAUGAGAUAAUCAAUUCGUAUUUAGUAUUUAGUAUUUAGUAUUUAGUAUUAUGUAUAUAACUAAUAUUUCCAUCAUGUUCAUAUAGUUUCAAUGGACACCAUACGAGGAUCCGGCAAUUCAGGUAGUAAUUUUGGAUGAAUACUUGCAAAAUCCGAACGCUUGGCUUGUGAAUGUCUCAUUGGUCAACUUUGUGGUCGUGAAGAUGCACCAGUCAGACAGAGUACUACGAUAAUUUGGAUUUUGACAACCGAUUCCUGCGGCACCUGAGGUGUUGGAUGAUCAUCACAGAAUCGACUUAUGACAAUUGCAUGCAGAUUGGCCGUGUAACAGCCCGAUUCUGGGCCUAGUCGGAACAGUGGUUUCGGGACCACAAAUCCAACGAGGGAAAACAUUAUUGUCAUUAUAUUUUUAUGGUCUACAAUUUCAUAGAAAAACUUUGUAAAAAUUUCGUUCGAAAAUUUCGACGUUUGGGCACUCAAUUUAGUCAAAAGGACUGAAUUGUAAAAAGUGCAAAAGUUGAUUUCUACAUGUUAGAAGUGUCUAAUUGUUAUGAAAUUAUAAAUUGGGGGUCCUUAUAUGGUAUUUAGACCAUUAGUUAAUUGAUGGACAAAAAUAGACAUAAGAAAUGGGUGAAAUAGAUUUUUUUAAAUGGAGGCAUUUUAGUCAUUUGGUAAUAAAAAGAAUAAAAAGGGAAAAAGAUGGCAAAAAAUCAUCAUCUUCUCCAUAAGUUGCUACCGAAACUUGGAAGACACCAUAGCUAGGGUUUCUUCACUUUCUCAAGCUCAUAGUAAGUGCAUCCUAGCCCCGUUUUUAAUGUUCUUCUCAUUUUUGAUAUCCUCGUAGCUCGGUUUAGCUUAUUCUACCAUUAAUUCAUGUUAGGGUGCAUAUUUGGAAAAAUACCCAUAGGUGAAAUAUGUUUAUUUUACUGUUUUAUGGUAGAAUAUGGAGCUACAAAUUAUGUUAAACAACUUUUGCUAAGCGAUUUUAAGUAAAAACGGGUAAAUUGACAUANNNNNNNNNNNNNNNNNNNNNNNNNNNNNNNNNNNNNNNNNNNNNNNNNNNNNNNNNNNNNNNNNNNNNNNNNNNNNNNNNNGUAAAACAUAAGAAUAAGGUGUGAAAUUUAAUUUUCGAGCCUAGGGAUGAAAAUGGAAAUAUGCAAAAUUUUGGGGGUAAAAUUGUAAUUUUUCAAAAAGUUGAGUGGAGGACUAUUUUAAUAAAUGUGAACAUUAAAUGAGUUAAAUUUUUUAUUAUAGAUCAAGAAAUACGAGAAGAUAAUCUCAAACGGGGAAAAGAGAAGGUUGUGGAGUAAAUUGCAAAAUUACGAUAUUUUGCACCGAGGUAAGUAAACAUGUGAAUUAAUGUAUUAUUUUGUUAUGAUUUAAUAUAUGUUGAGAUUUAAUUGAACAUAGAAUAAAUAUUUGGCAUAGAUCCUAAAAAUGUGGUUAAGUUGGGAAAGGUGGCAAAGUAUUGAAAAACGAGGUUUCCGGUUGAACACUCGGAUUAAGCCGGAGUAUAUUGAAUAUAAAGGGGGUUGCUGAGUGCUGAUUCCCCCAAGGGGUUGCUAAGUGCUGAUUCCCCGAACCAUUGGUGGUUGUUAAGUGCUGAUCCCACCGUAUCUUAAAUGUGAAAGGGGUUGCUAUGUGCUGAUUCCCCGAAUCAUUGGUGGUUGCUAAGUGCUGAUCCCACCGUAUCUUAAAUGUGAAAGGGGUUGCUAAGUGUUGAUUCCCCGAUUCAUUGGUGGUUGCUAAGUGCUGAUUCCACCGUAUUUUUGAAUGUGAAAGGGGUUGCUAAGUGCUGAUUCCCCGAAUCACUGGUGGUUGCUAAGUGCUGAAUCCAUCGAUAACGGAUAACAUUCCGAGUGUUCAAUGGGAAACUGGAAAGGUGAAUAUUUAUAUAUGGUGGACAAGGUUAUGUGAGGAAUAUUGGGUUUGAUACUUAAUCAACCCAUGUGUAAGGUGAAAGGAAAUACCAAAACUUCAAAAGAACAAAUUUAAAUAUAAAACUGUUUUGUAUAAUAACAGUUGGGCAAAUUUGAAAAAUCACCAUAAAUGGUGGAAAAAAAAUUAGAGGCUGGAUAAUAUAUGAAAUUGAAUCUGAAUAAGUCUAUUUUUGUAUGAAAGAAACAUAGCAAGCAAAAGAGUUCUGUAUUUGGGGAUAUUUAAAUUUUAUUGAGACAGGAUUAGAUUGAUUUCGAAAUCCCCUGUUUCAACUUCGGAAAAUCACCAAAAAUUGUAAAAAACUUAUUAUGGCUUGAAAUUUACAUGCUUGAACUCCUUGGUGAUUCUUUUUUUAAUAGAAACAAACAAGAACAUUGUUUGAAUUUUUUACAGAUAGUUAAGUGAAUUUUAGUAAGGAGAGGUCAGAAUUGUUAGGCACUGAAAUAAGGUAAUAUUUAGAGAAUAAACUGUACUAAUUGGAUAAACUAAAAAUUCUAAAAAUUUUAUGGUGGAAAGAUAUAUGAGUCUAGUUUUGGGGAAAAUUUACGGAAUUCAAUUUGGAGCCUUGUAACUCCAGAUAAAAAUAAAUUAGUGACCAUGACGCAGAAAAACAGUUUGCUUGAAAUUGAACAAACAAUGAAAUUUAUGUGUGAUAAAAAUUAUGUCACUAUGUAAUCUUGUGAGAAAUUUAUUUAUUUGUCAUAUGUUUACUUACUAAGCUAUAUGCUUACUCAUCUUUAUUUUUCCCCUGAUUAUAGUGACAUCAGCCAGCUCGGAAUUUGAACGAAGUUUAAAAUCAUCCACACUGUCAUCAACUUUUUGAGGUAUUUUGGCAAUCAACACUUUUGAAACAUGGCAUGUAUAGAUGACUUUAUGUAUUGUGGUAUAAAUAUGUAUAUAUAGUAAUGUUCGGUUCAAUAUGUUGGUGUUUAUUAAUGGAUAAAUUAUGUCUGAUUAUAUAAUUGUAAUUGGUUGGAAAUAUUGAAGUUAUUUGAAGUUGUCUUUGGAAAUUUACAGGGGGUUUUAUGUAAAAAUAAGCAGAAAUGCUGCCGAAAUUUUUAUAAAAAAAAUUUAUAAGUAUUUGAGUUCUAGUAAUACUUCAUACUCUGUUUUGGUAAGGAACAUGGGUAAGGGGUGUUACAGGCCGAGAUUCUGGUCACACUAUAUCCAAAUGUGGGAAGAUCAGUAUGAUUAUAUACCUACUGGAAUACAUGUCAUAGUAUAGGAUCCAUGGCAAGCCAUAUUUACUGUCGGAAGAGGAGAGGCGGCGACAAUUGCGUGUCCAAAGGGAACGACGUGGCCCUUUAAAUCCAAGAAUCCAGCGCGUAACCGUUGAUGACCUCCAUGUGGCACUGAAUUCGGUGGGCACGAACAUUGAUUUUUAUUUUAAUAUAUUUGUACAAACAUUUUAAAUAUUUUUAUUUUAUUUCAUGUAAUAAAAUAAAAGGUUGUUUUGAAUAAAGUAAUUGUAAUUUACUUUUAUAUUUUUAAUAAAAUAGAAAUUCUUUUAAAUAAGGCAAUAUUUUGAAUAUUUUUAUAUUAUUUCAUUUAAUAAAAUAUAAAUAAUACAACAUAGUUUUUUACAACAACUAUCAACUAUUGCGAUUUGGACAUGAUCUACUUGUAUAGUCUGGGUUCCUACACCAUCCGCACAAGUUUUGUUGAUUGGUUGUUUCUCGGAUAUCCAUAUUGUUACGUAUUCUAGUCGAGCAAGGUCGACCCUUUGGUUUGCGAUGCAAUUCUCUAUCCGAUAACAACUUAAAGGGAGCAAACGAUACAGACGGCCACUUACGUUCAUCUGAGACUGGUGGGAAUACGUGUCUCUAGAUGUUAUACAUGUAUUCUAAUUUGUACACUUCGUCGACAUAGCUCAUGGGAUCCAGACGGAGAUUCUGACAAAUUGCAAUUACAUGAGCGCAUGGAUAAUGAAGUGCGUCAAACAUCCCAUAGUCGCAAGUCCUAUUUUUCAAGUGUACACGAUAUUGCCCGCUAGUAAUACCUUGGUGCGGUCUGUCAAACUCCGUCAAACGAAACCAUAAGUUGUCUCGAUCGUGACACACUGUGUGCAUGGUGUUCACUCGCGCAUUCGCCUUGUUAAUUUCUUGCAAUCCCUUCCUGCACCAUACAUGGGCUCCCUGUAUUUGGCUUGCAUAACUCGCUGCUCGCUUUGGAAAUAGCACUGCUAAACGAAAAUAUAUCUCUCGCACAAUCGAUGUUAUCGGUAAAUGACCCAUUUUUUUUAGAACAUAAUUUAUGCAUUCAGCUAGGAUUGAGGUCAUAUGACCAUAUUGUAGGCCGCUGUCGUAUGCUUGUUUCCAUUGUUCGAAAGGUAUGUUACAGAGGUAGUCUGCGCCUUCGUCGUUAACUGAACGCAAAAUUGCCAACAUCUCAUGAAAACGGUUUUUACUUAUUUCAUACCCUGCCAAUAUAAAUUUAUAGCGAAUAUUACAUACCACUCUUUCAUUUAGAAUAAAUUCAAAAUGACAAAAGAUAAUUAUAUUAAUAGAGACUAAAUACCCAUGUUGGUCACUUGUCGUUAUUCACUUUUAGAUGGAUAUUGCCUAUAGUAGUUGGAAGCAACGUGCCUUAGGCAAUACCGAUGGUGUGUGCGCUGCCAUAGGCUUUCCUGUCGCUCAAUAGCAGCUAGUAUUUCGGUGCCCCGAUCUGAAAUAACACAGAUAUCAGGUUGGGGGCACACAUGUCUCCUUAACCUAGAUAGAAAAAAAUUCUAGUCAUCAGCUGACUCUCCCGGUGUUAUUGCAAACGCAAUUGGAAGAAUUCUCCUACUACCAUCCUGUUCCACUGCUAGCAAUAGUCGAUGGGUAUAUCUACCAAACAUAAAGGUACUGUCAAUUUGUACCAAUGGCUUGUACUAUAGAAUUACGUCUCGGCAUUGCUUAAAGGUCCAUAACAGACGUUUGAACACUUGGCAUCAAUAGAACAAUCAGUCGUUGUAGUACGCACGUUUCGUUUCAAGGUCUGUUAUGCAACCUGGGACGUAUCUCUCUAGCACUUGACACCACUGCCAUAUUUCAUUAUAUGAAGCGUCCCACCCACUAUGCAUCUUCUCCAACGCCUUCUGCUUAACUAUCCAAGCCUUGAGGUAAGAGGGCGUGUACCCCAUUUGGCUACGAAUAUUGGCAAUUAAGACCGACACUGAAGUCCUAGGAUCUGCCUUCAUCGUGGGUAGUAUUAAGCUAGCUAACAUAGCUGAAUCCAUCUUGGGAUGAUCUUGUGAAAUACCUGUCAACGAAGUACAUUAAAUAAUACAAUAUUACAUAAUAACAGUAUUAUUCAAAAACCCUAAAUACUAUACCUGUAGCACAUAUAUGUAGACCUUUGUACUUUUUUAUCUCCCACAAACUUGUCCUUUUCCUCAACGAGGCAUAGAUUUUCCAUGAACAUGUACCAUCUUACACUACACACUUCACCUCAAACUUAUCAGAUUUGGAUUUAACCACGUGGUAGUUAACGCCAUUAUUGAUGAUAUGUUGUUUCAAUGCACCAAGAAAACUAUACUUAUUGGAAAACUCCUAACCAACUUCAAAUUCACCCGAAUCCAAUAAUGAACUUGUACGAUCACGCAUUUUGUGUUGUAGAUCUGGAAACUCCAACGCAUCAUCUGCAGAUAGAUCGACAUUAUGCAUGUGGGCUGGAGGCGAGUAUGCCCUGAAUCGUGGAUCUUCUUCUUCAUCUAAACACCUUUCAACAUCUUCAGGUUCGGUUGGAAUAUGCUCCGGUUCAAAAAAUAAUACAACUUCUGCACUAUCAGGGCUAGGCUCUCGAGGUGGAUCUACAUCAGACUCAUCUUCUAACCCACCAUCAUCUGCAACGUACGAGGUCCCUCACCGGUGGACGUCGUAGGGAAUACAUCAUCCCUUUUUCUAGGCAUUUCAUAACAUCCCCAAUUGUUUGUAGAUUGCCAACAACUAGAAGUUGAUGCCGUUCCCUAGUACGUAUUUCCAGCAUCAAACAUCAAAAAUCGAUACCUAGUGUCGAAACCAUUUUUUUUUGUAAAAAAGGGUCUACUUUUAUCUUGAAAAUGAAAACGAAAAAAGGGGAGUCGCCACCAAUCCUUUUUAUUUAGGUGUGAUCGGAUCACCUCAUAAUUUAACCAUUUUAAUAAAAGUUUAAAUUUACUAAAACGAUAAUUUUUGGUCUACAAAAUUCAUAAGACGGGUUCGGGAGUCGAUUACGCAUGACGAAGGAUUAGCACCCUCGAUACGCCCAAAAUUGGUACCUAGUUGAUUACUUAAUGUCUUAAUGUCGAAAGUUAAAAUUUUGAAAAAGAUUUUAAAAUAUGAUUCCUUUUUUUAAUGAUGUUAAUUUUAAAAACGCUUGAAUUAAAUCGAAACGAAUGUCAAAGACCUCUCGUCUCGAGAUAAUAAAUGUCACAUCCUGUAAGUUAGGACACGACACUUGGAACCCUCGAGAAUAAGCUAGCCUUUAACUUUUAUUGGAAUUUCGUAAACUUUGAAAAUUAGAAGGAUAUUUUUCUAUUUAGGUUCAACAAGAAAAUUAAAACCCCGUAAGUUAGGGUAUAAUUUCUCAAAUCUCCAAAACACGAAAUAUUGCCUUAUUUUAAAACUUUUCCUUUUUUGAGUAAUUGCAAGUACAAUACUUGAACGAGGUGCAUUUGUUUUAUUUGUGACAAAAUAGAACGGUUUAUUAUGGUAUUUACAAAUCGAACGAAACUUUUUAAAUGAUGCAAUGAAAUGGAACGAUAACAUAGAACAUAAAAUAACAAUUUGUGAAUAAAAUGUUACGCUAAUGAGUGGCAAUAAUAUGAGAAUAAAUAAACAAGUUAUGGUACACAUAAUGAUAAUAACCACACAACAUGCAUCAUUUUAAAAAUACCAAUAUUAAUAAUCAAAGUAAACGAAGCAAAAUAAUAUAGAAAACAAUUUCACGUAAAUAAUAGUCUAAAUAAAUAAUUUACGAGAACAAUAAAUGAUAAAAGAUUUCUAAUAAAUGAUAUAUAAAAACUUAGAAUGAAUAAUAAUACAAUAGUUUAAAGUAAAUAAUCAAGAAAAGAAAAAAAAUAUAAAACAAUUUUCCUUAAAACAAAUAAAUAAUAGUUUAAAAUAAAUAAUAUAAUAAAAACAUAUAUAAUAGUUUAAAAUAAAUAAUAUAAUAAAAACUUUUAAACAAAUAUUAAGUAAAACAGUUUAGAAUAAAUGAUAAAUAAAACCUUAAAACAAAUAAUAGUAAAAGAGUUUUUUUAAAUAAAAUAAACAAAUAAAUUAAAUAUACUAAGGAUGAUACUGAAAUCGAUCCAGAAUUUGGGGUUCAAAUUGAAAAUAAAUAAAAAAAAUGGGCUACUAGGGACUGAAAUAGAGCGCGCUUAAGGAAUGAAAGAUCGACCGGGCAAUAUUUCCAGCCCUCAUGCGCAGUAUUUCAGCGCGGACUAAAAUCAAACAAACUGAAAAUUAUGCAGCUAAAAUAAAAGGAACAAAUGGGGUCAAAUUGCACCACGUCAAACAAAUAGAGGGACCUAUUGCGCAAAUAGCCCCUUUACUGCAGAAACACACAGAUCCUGAGGGAAAACAGGUCGGUUUUCGGGUCUGAAGCCUAAACGACGUCGUUUUGGCCUCUAAGCUCACUCCUCAAAACGACGCCGUUUCAUGUUGCUAUAAAGGCCAAAUAUUUUUAAAAAUCCUUCUUUUUUCCCUUCUCUCUAAAAAAACAAAAUAGAAUUCUCUCAAGCCCCUUUUCCCUUCCCAAAAUCUAGCCAGGGGUCUGGCCAUCGGCCACCGUGCCGGCCGCCGAUCGCCGACAAUGGCACCACCAUCCGCGGUGGCCAAAAAAAGCCAAAGCCGCCCCUUUCGCUCCUCUUUUCGAGUAGAGCCCGGAUUUAGAGUUAAAAUAACCCAAAAGACCCUUAAAGUUCGAAAAAAAGAAGAGAAAAGGAAAAAAAAAAGGGACUUUUCAGUUUCCCAUUACUGCCGGUGGGGAUUCGGCGAGCCCACUGGCUCAAUCACCCUCAACACCGGGGAAACCUCCGACUACGGCCACAAAGGUAACAAAUCUCGCUCCUUUAUUUAUUUUAUAUUUUAUAUUAUUUAUUAUUUCGAAUAAAAAUAAAUAUAUAUAAAAAGACCUUGAUUUUCUCUGUUUCAAACUCCUUUUUGUAUUCAGAAUUAGUGUGUAACCGAAAAAAUUACAAAGAUGAUGCUCGGGCUUUUAUAGCCGAAAUUCAUGAUUCGUUUUUGUUCUUUUUCUUUUGUUUGCUUCCAUUUCUUUUUUUUUUUCGUUGUCCUCUUUUGCUUGCAUGUUGCAGGUGGUGGCAGAGGGCGUCAGACGCGUGAGGGAGCCUGGUGCGCAUGUGGCGGUGGCAGCGUGCUGACGUGGGAGGAGCGGUGGCACUAGGGGGCUAGGGUUUCUUUUUUUUUUCCUGAAAGUGUGUUUAGGCUAUUGGGCUUAUCGGGCCAUUAGGGUUUUUUUUAUUUGGGCUUGAUGUUUUAAAAUUGGACUUGUAAUGGACUGUAAUUUUGGACUCUUAUUUUAUUUAUUUGGUUUGGUAUUGGGCCCGGGUAAAAUUGGGCUAUUACACCUAAUAGACAAAACUUUCAUUGGCGUCGUUCUGAAUAUUUUACGCCUAAUUAUUUUACGAAGUUCUGUCAAAUCUAUGUUCUGGUUAAAACCAGUCGCACUGUAAUAUCUGGUAAAAAAAACAACACCGUUCUCGGUGUGACGAACCUCACCAUCAUAGUAAAUAACAGCACUAAUACGUUCACUCAUCUUCAAUUUCCAUCCUUCUUAGCCUCUCUAUUUUUUUUUUGCUGUAACCUAUGCAACCUGAGAAAAAAAUUUGGCUCAUUUAUAGCCUCAGGCCAAAUAGAAACUACUGUAGCAAAAGAGCGUCCAUGUGGGAGCUUCUUUCAGUACUUUUGCUGCCAUUGCAUCCUGCUUGAAGCAUUUUUGACACUAUUUGCUCAGAAACAUCUUCUCAAAAUUAUUUUUUCAGAAAUUACUGUAGCAAAAGAGCGUCCACGUGGGAGCUUCUUUCAGUACUUUUGUUGACAAUGCAUCCUACUUAAAGCGUUUUUGACACUAUUUGCUCAGAAACGUCUUCUUAAAAUUAUUUUUUAGGAACUACUGUAGCAAAAGAGCGUCCAUGUGGAAGCUUUUUUAAAUUAACAAAUAAUUUAAUUAAGUAACCCUAAACCCCAAAUCCUAAUUUAUUUUAUUUUUCCUUAAAAACUCUAAACACUAAACCCUAAUCUAAUUUUUUAAAAUUUUAUAAUUAAUUUACUCAAGUAACCCUAAACCCUAAUUUAUUUAAUUUUUUCUUAAAAACCCUAAACACUAAACCCUAAUUUGAUUUCUUUAAAAUUUAUAAUUAAUUUACUCAAGUAACCCUAAACCCUAAUUUAUUUGAUUUUUUUCCUUAAAAAUCAUAAACUAAUUUUCUAAAAUUUAUAAUUAUUUUAAUUAAAAACCCCUAAACCCUUAUUUAUUUAAUUUUUUUCCUUAAAACCGUAAAAUCUAAAAACCCCAAAAUCUUAAAACCCUAACUCUAAUUGUAGAAAACCCUAAGCCUAAAAAAUGGAGAAAACGCUUCCUCAAGGAAGCGCUUUGUGCACGUGGACACAAAGCGCACCCUCAAGGACGCGUUUUCUAUCCAUGUGGACAAAGUGUUUCCUUCAGGAAGCAUUUUCCUGCUUUAUCCCCUGACAAAACGCUGACGUGGACUCAUUUUGGAGAAAAUUGGCCCAUUCCGGUAAUUAAUUUAGGAGCUGACCCAUUUCGAUAAUUUUGAAAAUAAAGGGGCUUUUAUUGAUAAUUUUUCGGUACAAUUGUCACCCAAAAAUAUAUUAUUUUCAACAAAACUAAAGACUUUAUUUAAGAAAUAUAUUAUUUUAAAAUUGUUAGUUAAAAAACUUAAUUGAUCCAUUCUCUAAGAAAGGGUUUAAUUUCUUUUUGGAGGGGAGGAUUUAUUAAUAAGAAAGGGUUUUUUUUUAUUACAAAUUCACCCGUUCCCAAAGACUAUUUUUAAUAUAAAAAAUAAAAUGUGAAUUCAAUGAAGUCAUGUCAAGAUUUUAGAGUAAGUUUAAGUAGGCGGUGUAUUUACUUAUAUUAAGUAUAAAAUUAAAAUGACAAUAAAAUAAAAUUAGAUAUACGAUAAUAAAAGAUAAAAAGUAAACUAAACACAUCGCAUUGGACUGUUCACCCAUCCAAACGCACGCUAUAUUGGUAUCAUAGUGAAAUCUGUGUCAGGUUAACAGCCGCAUAACAGCCAUAGCUAGGUUUGGUGAUGUAAAGAAAGGAGAAUGAAUAGAAAGAGAAUAUCUGACUGUAGUAAAUGAGUCAUAGUUAGGUUUGGUGAUGUAAGGAGACGAAUAAACGAGUUAAAGAGCAAAUUGGAACACUGUUGCUGGACGAAUCCAAAUGUUCUGUGACUAUUAGAGCUUAGCUUUCCAAUUUUCUCUUUAACUUGUUUACUCAUCUCCUUACAUCACCAAACGUAACUAUGGCUCAUUUACGAAAGUCAGAUAUUCUCCUUGUACUCCUCCUUUCUUUACAUGUUAUUAUUAUAGCUCAAGAAAACGAGUCGAGCAUCAUCCAACCAGCUUCUUCACUUUAUGCCGGAAAACACCCUAGUUCAUGGCCCUCAUCUUCAGGGUAUUUCCGAUUUGGUUUCUAUCCGCAAGGCAAUGGAUAUUCGGUCGGAAUCUGGCUUGUUGGCCGGUCAGAAAACACCACUGUCUGGACCGCAAAUCGAGAUGAUCCGCCUGUCUCCUCAAAUGCUACUUUGGAAUUCACAACACAAGGCAGGUUGCUUCUUCGGACUGAGGACGGCAUGGAAAAAAUCAUUGCGAAUCUGACCAUGUCAGUAUCUGUUGAUGCAGCUUCUAUGUCGGACACCGGGAAUUUCAUGCUCUACCAGAACAGGACUGUUGUUUGGGAGAGCUUUAAUUUUCCAACGGACACAAUAUUAGGAGGCCAGAAUUUAAGCGGUUCUCAUAACAUGUUGAUUUCCAAUGUGUCAAGGUCAAACCAUUCAUCUGGGCCAUAUUUGUUGAGAAUGCAGGAUGAUGGUAACCUUGUAGCCUAUGCAAAUAAUCCUGCUGAACUUGAUCCUAGUGAUGCAUACUGGGCCACUAUGACUAAUGGUUGGUAUUUUUCUGUGUUGAAUCUCAAUGAAAGAGGCGUUCUAGCAAUGUAUUCAUCACCAAAAUUCCACCAAGAAAAAGUUUUGGCAAACCUCUCCGCAACUGGGAACGAAACAAUGAUUAUCUACAGAGCAACCCUUGAUCCUGAUGGAAAUUUCAGAUUGUACUCGCAUCAACUCGAACGCAAUACUAUCUCACACAAGUGGCAGAUUCUGAAUGAUGAAUGUGAUGCUAAAGGUCAAUGUGGGUUGAACAGCUACUGCUCCAGCAGGGGUAAGGAUACUGAGUGCUACUGCUAUCCUGGUUUCACAUUUAUCGACGAGAAUACCAAAUCCCUGGGCUGCUCUCAGAAUUUCACUAUAGAUGAGUGCGUGGCAAGGAAAGAUCUAGUGAUACAUUACAACAUCACUACCUUAGACAAUAUUGAUUGGGCUGGUGAUCCUUAUUCUGUCAAGCAAAACUUGGAAAAGGAAGACUGUAAGAAAUCUUGCCAGGAGGAUUGCUCCUGUGGCGGAGUUCUCUAUUCUAACCGAAAAUGCUGCAGCAUGUAUAUGCUACCGCUCAAAUAUGGUAAAAGACAUGGAAAUAUAACAACCACAGCCUUCAUCAAGUUGAUUCUGGGUAGCACCAUUAGCCACCCACCCGAAACAAGUCAAAUAUUGAUAAGCGAAGGAAACCAAAGCCUCAUUUUAACCAUGGGCUUAAGUUUGGGUUCCGUUGCAAGCUUGUGUUUUGUGAUUGCAAUAGGUAGCUUCUUGUUAUACAAGCACCGAGUCCAAAAUUAUGAGAAGCUUUUAGAAAAUAAAAGUUCAGGAUUAACCGAGCAGUUUACGCUACGAUCAUUCACUUUCGAUGAGCUAGAUGAAGCAACAAAUGGUUUCCAAGAUGAGUUAGGAAAAGGUUCAUUUGGAACAGUUUAUAAAGGAAUUUUGCGGGAUGGUAAAAGUAAAACUAUUGCCAUUAAAAGACUGGCGAAAGUUAACGAAGGAGAAACAGAUCAGAUUCGAACCGAGAUGACAGUCAUUGGAAGAACUAAUCACAGGAACUUAGUCCGAUUGCUUGGUUUUUGUGUGGAAGGUUCAAGGAAGCUCCUCGUUUAUGAAUACUUGGGCAAUGGCUCACUGGCAAACUUUCUGUUCAACAUGAAUAAACGCCCAGUGUGGAAAGAGAGAGCCCGAAUUGCAUUGGACGUAGCUAAAGGUAUCUUUUAUUUACAUGAAGAGUGUGAGGUGUGUAUCAUCCAUUGCAACCUCAAGCCCCAUAACAUACUCUUGGAUGAUUCAUUGACUGCAAAGAUUUCAGAUUUUGGGUUGGCAAAGCUAUUGAGGACUAAUCAAACAUGCAGUACCCCUAGGACCAAAGGGACUGCAUGGUACUCGGCACCUGAAUGGCAAAGCAGUGGAUUGGUGUCGGUAAAAGUUGAUGUAUACAGUUUCGGGGUGAUACUAUUGGAGAUCAUAUGUUGCAGAAGCAACAUAGAAGUACAAGUUUGUAGUGCAGAUGAGAUACUGCUUUCUACAUGGGUAUACAGUUGCUUUAUUGGCGGAGAAUUGAAUAAGCUUGUGGAAGGUGAAGAAGAAGUGGACAUGAAAAUGGUGGAAAGAUUUGUGAAGGUAGGGCUUUGGUGCAUUCAAGAUGAUCCCAAUUUGCGUCCAUUGAUGAAAAAUGUCAUCUUUAUGCUGGAAGGAACAAUGACUAUACCAGUCCCUCCAUCUCCAUCACUUCUGUUAUAACUUUGAUUUAGUAUUUACUUUAAUUUUGCUUUUCAUGUGAUGCAUGAUGAUGUGCUUAUUUUUCUUUUCUUUAAUGUAAUGCAAUUAUGUAAGAUAAGAGAGUUUAAUUCUAAAAAAAUAAAAUUUCAGUAGUUAAAAAAAUAAUAGUGUUAAUUUUCUUGCCUUCAAAAUCUGUAUAUAUGGGGCAGCUCUUCACCGAAAAAAAAAAUUCAUUCUUGCCUUAAAAUUUUUUUCUUUUGAUUUCAUAUUUAUUUAAAUGAAUUGAUGUCUAAUUGACUUUUAAUAAAUAAUUAAAAUGUCAUUCCUAUUAAGAAAUGCUAACAAAUAUUAUUAUGAAAUAAUUCAAUCAAAUUGUUGGUGUGUAACUAUAGAAGUAAAAUUAUAAUUAACAAAUGAUAAAAUUGAUGAUCACAUGUCCAAUCGUAUAUGAUAAAACUUAAACUUGAAUACUUAAAAAGUUUAAAUCUCUCUCCUAACCAACAAAACAAAAUUGGGGCUAAAUUAGCCAUAUAUGCUAAUUUAUUUUUUAAAUUGGCCUUUUAAGCUGGAUUUUUGAAAAAUUAGGAAAAUAAACUAUUUUUUUGGAAAGAGGAAUGAAAAAUGUGUCCAAUUGGGCGUACUUUCUACACAGUUGGCAGGAAAGUUCGCAUAACUGGUCGCACUUUCCUGUAAAUUGGAUAGAAAGUGUGUCAACUAAGCGCACUUUCCCCCAACUAGAUACUCCAACGACUUUUUGAAAGUUGGUCGAGCAACGGUAAGAAAAUUUAAAAGAGGGCAACGAUAAAAUUUUUUCACUAUAAAUACCCCCUAUUUUAUUUUUUCACUCACAUCCUAUUCCUUCAAUUCUCUUAAUUCUCUCAAAUUUCUCAAGCUUUUCUUCUAAAUUUUUUGAUAUUCUCAUUUAAAAAUCUUAGUUUUUUUUAAUUAUUCCGUAUUUUAUUUGUUCGGAUUAAAUUUUCACGAAAUAGCAACCUCCCUAAUUCAUUUCGACAACAAGCACAUUUCCGUCACUCAAGUAAUAAUGGUAAGACGAAAUUUUAAAUUUAGUUAUUUUUAAUUAAGUUAAAAUUAAUUUUUUUAAUAUUAUAUUUUUUUGUUAUUAUAAAUAGGUGGAUGAUUGUGUUUUGGAGGGGAUCAUACAUAAUUUGGUAGCGUCUCCGAUCACCUAAAUUCAUGGUUACUUGUAAAAGGUGAGAUUCUUGCAUACGUCUCGUAUACUUGGGGGUUGCAAACUUAACCCUACACUCAUCAGCAUGUUGGUGGAAAAAUGGAGGUUUGAAACACACACUUUUCAUCUUUCAUGUGACAAGUGUACAAUCAUACUCAUAUGAUCAUCCUCUUUAUUUAGCACCAAAUUGGUUUCCAUAAAAAAUUAUAAUAUCCUUUUAAGUCUUUUUAAAAUUAAUCCUAUUAGAAUUAUUGAUUUAGUCUAAAGCUGAUCAUGGGUCGGGCCGAACCGAGGCAAAAAGUCUAGGUUUGGGCUCGAUCUACCCAUAUUAAAAUCUUUUAUAUAAUUUUUAUAUAAAAAUAAAUUUAAAAAAUAUAAUACAUCAAAUACUUUAAAAAUAUUAAAAUAAUUGUUUACCAACAAAUUAAAAAUACAUUAAAAAAUAUUUAUGCUUAAAUAACACUAAGAUAUAUACAACUUCACAAGUAAAUGCCUUUAAAAAAAUAGUAAAAUUAACAAUGAAACAAAAUUUAUACAAUAUUUAAAUAUUAACAACAAAAUAGUAGUAAUAUAAUAGCGAAAUUAUAGCAAAAUAAUAAUAAAACAACAACAAUUUUUCUUAUGCAAAUUCGGGCCGAAUUGGGCCUGAGUUGAAAAACUUACCUAAGACCCGAUCCUUUUAAAAAUUUAUCAUUAUCAUUUUGUCCAAACCUAUUUUAGAAACCUUUAUUUUUACCAAAAAUUUUCCAAACUUUUUGGGUCAGUCCUAUUCGCCCUGUCUAAUUUAGCCUAUAUUCAAUUUCCUCCUUUGCGUUUGCUUUUUGUUGUUUUCUAAAAAUUCAGCCUUUCAAAUUCCAAUUAAAUAAUUUGUUGAUAUUUUUAAAUUUUUAUUAUCUUUUCGACUUCAGCCAUUUAUUAUUUCGUCAUCACUUGCAAAAUAGAAGAGAGAAACACCAUAUUUCCCAUGGCUUCGGUGUGGGCUUUUCUCUUGCUCCUUUCUUCUCUCUGCGUGAAGCAGUCAAGCAGCAUCAUUUCGCUGGGAUCUUCGCUUUCCUCGGCCACUCAAUCCAUCCCGUGGCGUUCUCCUUCUGGUCGCUUUGCAUUUGGCUUUUACAGUCAAAACGGUGGCCUUUCUGUUGGAGUUUGGUUAGACGGCAGACGAAAGAACGAUAACAAAGUUGUAUGGACAGCAAAUCGUAAUGAGCCGCCGCUCACUUCGAAUGCAACUCUGAUAUUAAAUGGCAAAGGUGUGCUUCUUUCGAUCGCUGUGAGCGGAGAAAAGAAAUUUAUUGCUAAUCCAAACAAUUCGGAUGUCAGUGUCUUCUCUGCCUCCAUGCUAGAUUCAGGCAAUUUUGUGCUCUACAACAAAGACAAUCAUACCAUUUGGGAGAGUUUCGAUAAUCCUACUGAUACCCUUUUAGGAGGUCAGACUUUAUUAACUAAUCACAAGUUGAUCUCCAGUUCAUCAGAGAAUGAUCACUCACCUGGAAGGUUUCAUCUUACCAUGCAAAGAGAUGGGAAUCUCGUUCUAUACCCUCUAGAGUUCGAAGAUUCUCCUCCAAAUGCCUAUUGGAGCACAGAUACUUUUGGGAAGAACUUGUCGCUCAGCCUUUUUCUUAACGCCACAGGCCUCCUCGAACUCAUCAACAACGAUAAUUCGUCCAUCUACGACAAAAUUAAUCGUUGCUUUUCUAAAGAGCCGACAUACAAUGACUACAACGAAAGCAGCAGCAACAACAACAGUACUGUUUUCAGUGCAAGCCUUGAUGUUGAUGGGAAUUUCCGGUUAUAUGCUCAUCUGUUUGAGCAAAAUGGUGGGUUUCACACUUAUCUACUGUUGAGGGCGGUGUUAAAUUCCUGUAAAGUUAAAGGUUUUUGUGGUUUCAACAGCUAUUGCACAUUUAAUGAUUAUCAACCCUACUGUGCAUGCCUCCCCGGGACUGAUUUUAUUGAUCCUCUUCAGAACAAGCUCGGCUGCAAGAGAAAUUAUUCUGAAGCACACUGUAAAGGAGGGAAGGCCAAUAUACCCUUUUAUAACAUGACUUCAAUGCAAGGUAUUGUAUGGACUACGGGCAUAUUUUACAGUAAAGAGCAACUGUCCAAGGAUGCGUGCAGCCGAACAUGUUUGGAAGACUGCAAUUGUGAGGCAGCACAGUUCGAGAAUGGGAUUUGCAGGAAACAAAAGCUUCCACUCAGGUAUUUGCUACGAGAUCCUGGUGCCGGAGAGAUUUCUAUAGUUUUAUUGAAGGUGGGAAUCAAAAGCCUUGAAGCAGACGACGACACUGUUCUCUCUGAAUUAAAGCUACCCAAAGUCCUAAUCAAACGGAAAAAUACGACGGUGCUACUACUUCUUUUAACUCUCAGUUUUGUUGCAUGUUCAUGUGCUUUGCUUACAAUCUCUGGUGUAUACAUUUAUAAAUUUCGAGUUCUAAGAUACAAAAGGCUGUUGGAACUUGGAAAUUUGGGCCUAACGGAAGAGCUUACGUUGACAUUGUUUUCAUACAAAGAACUAAAGAGAGCAACAAAUGGGUUUAAAGAAGAGUUGGGUAAAGGAUCCUUUGGAGCAGUCUACAAAGGGUCUUUAGACAGAGGAAGACAGUUGAUUGCUGUGAAGAGACUCGAGAAGUUAGUGGAAGAAGGUGAAAAAGAGUUCCAAGCAGAAAUGCGAGCAAUUGGUAGAGCUCACCACAAGAAUUUAGUUCGACUUUUGGGAUACUGUGUUGAGGAUUCCAAGAGACUAUUGGUGUAUGAGUACAUGGGCAAUGGCUCCCUUGCAGAUCUACUUUUCAAGUCAACAAAGCCCCCAGAUUGGGAUGAAAGAACAAGAAUAGCCCUGGAUGUUGCUAGAGGAAUCCUCUAUUUGCAUGAUGAGUGUGAGACUCCAAUCAUUCACUGUGAUAUAAAGCCGCAAAACAUAUUGAUGGAUGAUUUAUGGAGAGCUAAAAUUUCGGACUUUGGGCUGGCAAAACUGUUGAUGGGAGAUCAAACAAGGACCUUCACAGGCGUAAGGGGAACUAGAGGAUACAUGGCACCAGAGUGGCAGAAAAAUACUCCAAUAUCAGUGAAGGCUGACAUUUACAGUUACGGAGUUGUGCUGUUGGAGACUGUGUUUUGCCGACGGAACUUGGAAACCAAUGUAUCAAAACCAGAGGAGGUCAUUCUAUCAAGUAUGGUGUAUAGAUGUUUGGUUGAAAAGGAGUUGGAUAAGCUAAUGCUUGGUGAAGAAGUGGAUAAAAGAAGCUUGGAAAGAAUGGUGAUGGUGGCACUUUGGUGUAUUCAAGAUGAACCAGCUCUUCGUCCUUCCAUCAAGACUGUAGUAAUGAUGCUGGAAGGGAUCACUGAUAUAUGUAUUCCUCCAUGUCCAACUGCUUCCUUCAUCAAGUGAUGAUCCAACAAUCAAUCAUUUCACUCAAAAGUAUAUGUGUAUGUUGUCAAUAAAAUAUGUAAAAUGCUUCCUGUAGUGUCCUCCUAUAAUAGGCUUGGGUUAUGUACUGGUUUGUUAGUAUGAAUAUUCAGUUGCAUUAUUAUUACUCAAUCAUAUAUUAAUGAAAUGGUGAUUUUAAGUAUGAUCAUUAAACACGAAGUAUAAAGAAUUUACUUACAGUUACUGAUUAUCCAAUCGUAAGAAGCAGUAUUGCAGUAGCCAGUUGAUGAGUUUAUGUAAUAUGUGGAAAACUAUUACUUGCCUACAGUAGAUGAGUUUAUAUAGUAGCUCGACUUAAAUAGUACAAAAGCAAAUACAAUAUUGAUAUAUAUACUAAUGGCCACAUAUAAGGGUGGGUUUACGACCCUAACCCGGCCUAAUGUACUACCAUAAGAUAAUUGGAUAGUGACCAAUUGGACUAAUGGGUUAUUUUGUCACAUAAAAAACUUUUGAGUUGGUAGUCUCUAGUCUGGGCCUUUAUACAUAGAACAACAAUUUUCAGGCCUAAUUGAGUUUCAUUUAAGCUAGUACUCAAAGCUUGGCCUUAUAAAAUGGAAUAAAUUAUAAAUACAAUAUAUUAAUACUCAAUAGGAAAAUAUAAAUUAUUAUAUACUUUUAUAUUUAAUUAAAUAAAUGUUAAUCGUUAAAUUUUAAAAUUUAUUUUUUAUUAUUUUAAAAUAAAAUUAAUAGUUAUAAUUAAAAUAAAAUAAAAAGGGAUAAAUUAGUAAUAUAAUAAGUUAAUACUCAAUAGAAACAUUAAACUAUUAUACCCUUUUGGGUAUGGAGUGAGUUCAAAACUCGUGACCAACAUUUAUCUUCUUAAUGAGCCUACAAAAUACGAAAAAUUAAUUACUAGACUUGAUCUAAUAGAUACAAUGAGAAAUUUUAAAAAAUAAUUAUUCCAAAAUUUCAAAAUUAUUUAACUAUUUGACCCAAAUCAAUUAAUAUCCAAAAUGGAUAAAAUAAUUCAUACAGAAAAACUCAGCCCAUCAAUAGGUGUGCUCCCAACCCAGAACAAUAUAAAUCCAAAGAUAAUUCGAUCCGAAUCCGCCAAACCCACCCGUUUGGUUGAAGGAGACCCGUUCUUCUGCAUUGCUUCCUUUUGUGCUUCUGAUCUAUGGCUUUAUUCUCGAGUUGAAGGAAAAGUUAAAUGGCUCCAGCAAAGAAGGGAAAAGUCAAAACCCAGAAAGCUGAAUCAUCGCAGCCCUCUGAAAGUGACUUCAAGUUCCCAUCUUCAAUCCGCUCGGUUCCUCCUUCGUCUGUUGCCUCCUUCGUCUGUUAUUCAAUUUUUGCAUGGGAAAAAGUAAGAUGGAUGAAGAGGAGAAAAACCCAAAAGGCAAAAAUAAGAAAAAGAAAUGAAAAAGACCUAUGCGUAUGCACCCAAACGUGUUUGCCUAGGUAGUUAUGAAGAAGCAAGAGUCUGAACUGUUCUAUUUAAUGGGUUUCCCCUGUAAUUUAUAUAGUUUAUAUUUAAUAUAAUAUUUGUAUAGCUGCUUCUUUUAGAUACUGUUUUUCGCUACUUGAAUUGCUAUUCGUUGGUUAAUUUAGUUCUUUUUGAGUUGUUUCUUACUGGGUUUUUUCUUCCCCUUAUGAAUGAGCUUCUGAUUGUUAUUUAUGGCUUUUCUACUUGCAGUGAAACUAUCUGCACGGGUGUUUCAAGUUCGAAUUUUCAGUUUCCCUUAAAAGGGUUUGAUUGUUCCACUUUUAGCUUCUUCUUCUUCUUUUUUUUUUUUUGUAAAUUUUAUAAUAUGGCAUCAUCUCAUAGCAAUACUCACACUGAAGCCGCAAAAAUGGAACAAAUCAUCACUGAAUUCUUCUAUAAGAGUCUUCUAAUUAUACUUGAAUCGAGGUCUCCUUAUGUGUCAUCGCGAAAUUAUAUUGGUGAACAAAUUAUGUCAUCUCCAUCUUCGUCCCCAUCAUCUUUCUCAGGUGUGAGACCAAGAGAUAAAUGGUUCAAUUUAGGGAGUGCCCUUCAGAACUAGAAAAUUUUUAUCUUUGUCGCCAGAGUAAUUUUGAGCCGGUAGUGAUUGAUGUUAUCUUGGAGCAGAAGCCACUUGAUUGGGAUCCUGUGACCUUUUCCCCCAAACCUGAUCUUGUUAAGCAUUCUUCAUCAAAAGAUAAGAAUUCAUUUUUCUGGAAUUCUGAUCAAGAAGAAUCAGGCUGUGAGGCAAAAGGUGAGAAGGUUAUAGAAAGGUGGUUCGUGCAGCAUGAAAGUAGAAAGGGUAGGGAUUGCAGUUCAGGGAGUAGAAGGUCAAGUAGUAAUAAUUUGAGUGCAUUAUAUAAGAAAUUGUUAUUGCUGUUGAGGUCCUUAUAUGUGACCUUUAGGCUUUUACCUGCGUACAAGAUUUUUCGUGAUCUCAAUUCAUCUGGUCAAAUCCGUGCUUUUAAGCUUCUUCCUAGGGUAUCCUCUUCUGAUAAAUCUUUCACUCAGAAAGACGAGGCUGAAAUGCAGCCAUUUUGGUUCACCCCUGUGGAUACUUCUUGUGGAAGGCUUUGCCUUUCAGUUUUGUACCGUUCAUCAAUCUCAGAUACAAGCUCCCAGUCAUCAACCCCUAUGUCCCCUCAAUUUAUACCAGAUUAUGUUGGAAGCCCAUUGACAGACCCACUAAGAAGAUUUCCUUCUCUUCCUGUGUCACAGCCCAUUGACCGCCUUCAGUUUCUCUCUCACCAUCCCCAACACAUUCAGAAUCACAUGCUUUGGUUUCUAACCCAAGCUCUCGCCGUGCGUGCCGCCACCUAUGAGCUUACCUCCUCAUCCUCCUGGGGCAUCUCUACCUCAUAAGAAGAAUACAAACUUUGAUGAGUAUUGGCCUUCCCCAAAUUUUUCUGCUUCCCCUUCCCCUUCCCCAUCCCCGCCCAUCCGCAUUCCUGGGGGUCAUCUGUCAAAAGCUCUUUUACGUUCCGAAAGUGCUCAUGUUAACAUACCUGUCUGUAAGCUUGCUGGUUCCCCUGCAUUCCUGCAAGCAAAAUUUGCCACCAUCUCCUCCCCUUAAAGUUUCAAGAGCUGAUAGUUCUUGGACUGAUAAUAAUAUGGGUCCCAUGAAACCUGGCGCAACUAUCGAGAAGGUAUUUCAUAUAUGCCUCAUUGGUAUGAUUUGUGAUUCCAACCCUAUCUUGUUUUUCUCCUUGGAAUUUACUAUCGUUUUGUAUCUUAUAGCUGUUCUCUUUCGGGAAAGGAGACGGUCAGAAAUAUUCUGGAGUGAACUCACCCAGAAUUUCAUUUUUCAGAAGCUCCAGUAGGUCUAUACAAGAUGAUUUUGAUGACUCUGAGUUUCCUUGUCCAUUUGAUGUGGAGUAUGAUGAUACGGACGCUGGUAGCAGGUAAUGCACAGAACUCCUCAUAUAAAUUGUAUUUUUUAGAUUAACCCUUUUUGCAUCAUUUGUCAAUAGCUCAUACAAUUAAUUUACAUAUUUUUCUUUUUAACUUCGAAGUUAUUUUUAUCCAGAUUUCUUGAGGAUUUGACACUUAAUUAAUUGUUCUUGUGUAUUUGAAAAUGUGGCAUCAUUUUUUUUUUUUGUAUUAACAUAAUUUUCUCAGGACUUAAUUUGGUUGCUUUAACUUACCCUGGAGUAAUUUGCUAAAGGUCAUGUAAGCAAGCCAUCAUGUGUAUGGUAAGACUAAUAAUUGCCUUUUCUUUUUGAAUUUUGUCUUGAACUAGUUCUGAUCUCAUAAGACUGGAUGUUAGCAAUUGAUGUACUUUCUAGGAAACUGAAUAAUCAUUUUUAAGCAAAGAGAUUGUGCAUUAGAAACUUCAAUACCUUGCUGCUAGGAGUCUAAGUAGUGGCAUUUCUGGUUCAAGAAUCGGGAUAUAUCAGUUAUGAAGAGUUUCCAAAUAAAGUUUGUUUUCUAUUUUUGAGCAAGCCACCCUGGCUGGCAUUAAGCAUGUUCAAUACCUAGUCCAGGUAGUACCUGUAGUGAAAUAUCUGUUUCAGGGAUUGGGAUAAGUAGUGGUCUAUCAAUCUAUGGAGAGUUGCCAAUUAAACUUUGCUUUCCAGUUUUGUGAAAGAAAGUAAGAAACUUCACGGCAUUAUAAAUUUAGAUAUAUCAGGUAGUCUGCAAAAUUUGUUUUCUAGUUUUCAGAAAGACAGCCUGGCUGGUUAACUUGAAAAUGUUUAGUAGAUAUGAAGUUGGAUUGUAUAACCAUGCUGAAGUUUCUUGUGCCAGUUGAAUUUUGCAGCAAGCGGUGGUAACUGCUAAUCAUACUUCAGUUGUUUCUUGUAAUGCGCAACCAGUAUCAGUGAAUGAAUCAUAGUUGUUUUGGUAUCUUCAAUUUUAACAUAGUUAUUAACAAUGUAGAACUGCAGGAACAUGUCUUCAGGUCACGUGGUAGGAUUGGGGCCAAUUUCUGUGUAUGACUUGGCCCUUAUGUUUGAGGCAGCUGAAACAACAGCUGUCUUACUUUUUUUCUUUUGAUUGGUGAGUAAAUUAAAUUAAUAUAAAGAUGGGUGAUUAAGAGGAGGCCAAAAAACAAAGAUGGUUGAUUAAGAAUGAUUUGUUAAUGACUAAAGGAUAUGGUGGUUGCAGCAACGUUCUAUGCAUCCUUCUUGCUUGUCACUAAUUUGAUUUGUUCAGUUUCUUGAGUUACCUCUAAAACUACAACAAAAUGUAGUCGAAUGGCUUGUGUCAGUUGCAUUUGUAAUAACUCUGAUAAUCCUUUAUUAAAACAUGGAACUUUAUCAGUCUGUGUUGCUUUCCUGUAAUACCAGACACAACAAACUGCUUGAAGGAUCAAACAUCAUUUUGUCACUUUGAUUUAUUUUAUGGCAUACUCAGAUGUACACAUGAACAAAGUAUUCAUAUACUAAUUUCUACUAGUUAGCUUCGUAUUUAUAAUUAUUAUAUAGGGUUAUGUUUGGUAUUCUAAUGAUAUUUAGAUUUAGGGAAUAACUUAAAUAUUUAUUUUAGUUUCUAGGAGCUUUUGAAAUUGAGAUGUUGGGAUUAUAGAUAAUGGAGAUUUUCAUAUGUGGGCUAUCAGAGUUGGAUUUUUUUCGUCUUUAUUUCUCCCUAAGUUCAUCUAUUCCCCCUACUUCACGUUUUUGAGGUUCCAUGAAAUUACCAUGGGUGAAGAAAUCCAAAAGUUCUAAAGGUAAUUUGAACAUUUGACAUUCUCUUUACUGCAAUUGUUAGCUCAAAAUGUUCCCUCAAGAAAAUCCUUUAACCAUUGACUUAAGCAGGAUCAUUAAUCGAAAAUGAGUCAUGGAAUUCAUAUCCAAAUCCUACAGCACUUAUUUGAUCCUCCAACAUUAUAAAAAAAAAAAUAAGAAUCUAUUUUAGCCUUCCAUCUUUUUUAACAUUUGAAUUUGGGUUUUUAUCAAAUAUGUUAUCAUUUAAUUAAUUUUUUUCCGAAAUAAUAAUUAAUUUGAAAGUUGAUUAAAAAUAAUUAUUAUAAAUUUGUUUUGUUUCGUCUACCGAAUCAAGCUGGCAUUAAGAAGGAAAUGUAAAUAUAUACCUGAUGCUCAUCUCUGACACUUGCUUAAAAGGUAAAGAUUCGCAGUUAUGUUUUUAUCCAUUCUUUAAAUGUGUAAGAUCCAUUGAUAAAUGUAAAAAUCAAACUUAUAAUUAAUGAUUAAAUAUACAUUGGAUAGUAAUGAAUGAAAAAGUAAUAGAAUAAAAUCAAACCCUUAACCGAAUGCAUGUUGCAUUGAUCCCAUUUCUUUGUCAAUUAAUUUGCUUUAAUAUCCUAUAUAAACGUAUUUAAGUUCCAAAUGAAAUGUUUUUUUUUUCUUUGCACCGUGUAAUAUAUGAGCCAAAAUAUUAACAUUAUCUUUGAAAAUUCCCACCGUAAUGCCUCAAGGAUCACAAAUAUUGUCCCUAAUUGCACGUCUUGCAACUCCACUGUUUUACCUCCAUCAACGCGUGCUAUUCUUGCUCCAGCUCGGCCUCACUUCUUUCCAAAUGGGUGACACACAAUCCGUAAGUCUCCAAGGAAAUAAUGAUCACAUAUUUCUUCUUGUCUUAUUUCAUGGAAAUUACCAACGUCACUAUUGAAAAGCGUGUAGGUGGACUUGACCAAGACUUUUCUUGGCAAGUGGAGUAGAAGGCCAAAUGUGUUGGUUUCUUUCUAUUUCAUCGGAAUGAAAGCUUCCAGCCAAAGGAAUAGUUUUUUGUUUGGUAAAUUAACAUUUGGGUCAACUAAUUUUUAAAAGGUGAAUAAUGGUCAUUAACCCCUCACUAGAAUGAUGUCGUGACACAUUAACUCUUAACAAUAAUUUUAUAAAUAAUUUAAAAAAAAUUCAAAAAUUUCUUUAUAAAUCUUGAAAUUUAUAAUUUACUUUCUAAAAUUAUAAUUUUCUUUUUUAAAAUUAUAGGCAUACGAUUUUUUUAAAUCAUAAAUUUCUAAAGAGAUUUUGUACUAUACGAACAAGUCUUGUUUUCUCUUAAUGAUUGCUGUUAGUUCUCUUUAGAAGAUCUUGAUUUCAUUUAAGACAUUAAGAUGAAAUUUUGUCAAGGACAACACAGUUGUUGCCAUGCAUCCAUUUAUCUAUUAUCUAACGUAAAGCUAUCAUACUCUUGGUGGUUAAAGUAUGAAAUUUUAAAAAUUCUAAAAGUAUUUGGAAUUUAAAAAAAAUAUAUUAAAAAAUACACAUCUAAAAUGAACUUAGACAACAGGAUAUCUAGAUUCAUUUGAAUAUAUAUAUAGUUUAUCCAAGUUUAUUUUAGUAAGUUUAUAUUUUAGUCACUCAACUUCAAAAAGUUAAAAAAAUAUUGUCAUUGAACUAUUCGAAAGUUUUUAUUUAAGUCACUAGGUUGUUAAGUUUUUUUUUUUAAAUGACCGGCUAGCGAGUUUCCAAGUGACAAAUUGACGAUUGGUACGGUGGGUCAGUACCCAUUACUAAGUAUAAGAACAUACAUUAGAUUUAAGUCGAUUUGAUGAUCAAUGUUAAAUAUCAAAGAACCAAGUUGUUUAGAUUUCGGUUUGCAGAUUCGUGAUAUUCAAAGUUAUUUUAUGAAAAGAAACUAAGUUGUAAAAGAGAAGAAGAGUGAGAGCUUUCGAUUAGAGUAGACGAUUCAAAUAGAGAAGAUCAUAUAGCAACCUAAUGAGUUAAAUGAAAACUUUCGAAUAGUUCAAUGAUCAUUUUGUAACAUUUUAAAGUUGAGUGACUAAAUCAUAAAUAGAGGAAUUCCUGAUCCUAUUUGUAAAAGAAAAAAAAAUCUAUCGUUAAUUUACCAAAUAAUAAUUCUCCACCAAAAAAAAAAAAAAAAGCGGUUCCAAGUGUACCACGGAUUUAGCCUUGCAUAGGUGCGAGGACUUGACCAAGACUUCAAUGGAAUUGUUUUUAUUUUAAUCAACAAAAAUAUCGCUUUAUUUCUUUCAAUUUACAAUUUAUGAACAUGAUAAUAAAACCAAAAACUAUAACUUUCAAAUUGCAGAAAAUAAAUGACUAUGUGCUCACAACCAUUAAGGUAAUGAACAUGCUAGCAUACAUAGUGGAAGAUGAGAAAGGUCCACCUUUCUUUCUUUCCUUCCUUUUUUCUUUUUUUACAUUUUAAAAAAUAAUUAAAUCUUAGUCUUAGUCUCUAAAUUUAAUCUCUAUUUUUAAAUUUAUAACAUAUUUAGUUAGUACAUUUUUAUAAUAACAGUUAGUAUCAUUAAAACAUUUGUAAAUUUGAAUAUCCUAAAAGUCUUAUUUUAGUUAGGAUUACAUUACUUUUUUUGACAUUAUAAACUAUACUAACAUUUGAGAUUUAAUUUAUAUAUUUUAAUUUUUUGACAUAAUUUAAUUUGGUUCCUCUAUUUUUAUCCUUGAGAUCAACACUAUUUCAACAAAAAAAUCAUUUUAUAUUUCUAAAAAACAUUCUAAUCAAUAUUUCUAACCUUAUUUGUAUUACAUCAAAGAAUUUAAUAAAAGAAAUUUUAACAAUAAUAACAACUAAACUUAAAUAUUUAAAUCCGAAAAAUUAACAACUAUAUUCUUAAAAAUAAUAAACCCAGAAUUUUUUAUUCAUAAAUACCAUAGAUUUUAUAAAUUAAAAACACUUGAAUUAAAAACAACUAUAAUCUAGCUUUUUUAGUACAUCAUUUAAGCUUAUAUCAAAAUAUUUUUAUUUUUAUUUUUUAUAAUUAGUUGAAUGAUGACUUCAAACCAAUCCCGCAAAUUCUCUUCGUCCUUCUAUCAAGACUGUAGUGAUGAUGCUGGAAGGGAUCACUGAUAUAUUUAUUCCUCCAUGUCCAACUGCUUCCUUCAUCUAAUUCAAGUGAUUAUCUAAAUUGCAUAUAAAUUUUGGUUAAAUGUGACAUACAAACUUUGAAUUACAACUACAAUUAUUUAUUUCUUUAAAUAUGUAUAUUGAAUCACAAUCAUACAUUUUGACUACAAUUAAAACUUAAUGUAUAUAAUUAUACUAAAUCAAAGUUCAUGCUUCGAAUUGCACAUUGAAAAUGAAAAUGUGCAUAUUAUAUAUAUAUAUAUAUAUAUAUAUAUAUAUAUUAUAAAUUUCAAAAUGAAAAUGUACGAACCAUUUAUUUUAUUUAUGUUGGAUUCAAUUUUUAUUUUUUUGUAAAAACUAAGUGUUAAGUAUGAUUCCUAUUUUAGUCAAAUUUGAGAAAUAAUCUUCUAGUUAAACUCUGUUUAUUUGUUUCAAUCAAACACUGAUUAGUUUAGAUUAUUUUAUUAUUAUUUAACCUAUGAAUUUAGCCUAUAAAUAGACUCUUUUACAACAUUAGAAAUACACACAUUAGAUAUUAGAACCUCAUAACACAUUUAUUUGUUUACAUUUUGAGGGUUUUUUUUCGAGUUUUCGUGGUUUAAUUUUUAUCUUCAUCUUUUGUACUCUUCACUCUUUUGCCAUUAUAGUAAAAUUAUCUUUGCCUGUGAUUUUUUAUCCUCUUUUAGAGGGGUUUUUCCAUUUUAAAUUUAUUCCGCUAUUUUUUUACUUGUUGUUUAAUCGGGUCGAUCCUAACAGUAAGUAAAUUAUUUCAUUUUAACUAAUUUAUUUUUUGACAUAAUGUAUAAAAUUAAUUUACUUAUUCUUUUGAGUAAAAUGAUAAAACACAAUUUUACUUUUAAUAUAAGUGUUUUUAUGGUAAUUUAAAAAAAGAAAUCCUUCUUAAUUAUUUAUAUAUUAAUCUCGUAUAGAUUUCAUACAAACCGAUCAAUGACAAGCGUAUUACGACAAACAUUUGGAUACGUCUGAAAGUGAGAAAAAGUAAAAAUACUUUUGUUUUGAAAAAAAAGAUUUAAAAAAAAAAAAAAAGAGCUAAGCUCUAAUAGUCGGAGUACAUUUGGUUUCGUCUAGCAACAGUGUUCCCGUUUGCUCUCUAACUCGUUUGCUCGUCUCCUUACAUCACCAACCCUAACUAUGGCUCAUUUACUACAGUCAGAUAUUCUCUUUCUAUUCCUUCUCCUUUCUUUACAUGUUAUUAUUAUAGCUCAAGGAAACGAGUCGAACAUCAUCCGACCAGGUUCUUCACUUUAUGCCGGAAAACACCCUCGUUCAUGGCCCUCAUCUUCAGGGUAUUUCCAAUUUGGUUUCUAUCGCCAAGGCAAUGGAUAUGCGGUUGGAAUCUGGCUUGUUGGCCGGCCAGAAAACACCAUUGUCUGGACUGCAAAUCGAGAUGAUCCGACUGUCUCCUCAAAUGCUACUUUGGAAUUCACAACACAAGGCAGUUUGCUUCUUCGGACUGAGGACGGUGUGGAAAAAAUUGCGAAUCUGGCCGGGUCGGUAUCUGUUGAUUCAGCUUCUAUGUUGGACACCGGGAAUUUCAUGCUCUACCAGAACAGGACUGUUGUUUGGGAGAGCUUUAAUUUUCCAACGGACACAAUAUUAGGAGGCCAGAAUUUAAGCGGUUCUCAUAACCAGUUGAUUUCCAGUGUGUCAAGGUCAAACCAUUCAUCUGGGCCAUAUUUGUUGAGAAUGCAGGAUGAUGGUAACCUUGUAGCCUAUGCAAAUAAUCCUGCUGAACUUGAUCCUAGUGAUGCAUACUGGGCCACUAUGACUAAUGGUUGGUAUUUUUCUGUGUUGAAUCUCAAUGAGAGAGGCGUUCUAGCAAUGUAUUCAUCACCAAAAUUCCACCAAGAAAAAGUUUUGGCAAACCUCUCCGCAACUGGGAACGAAACAAUGAUUAUCUACAGAGCAACCCUUGAUCCUGAUGGAAAUUUCAGAUUGUACUCGCAUCAACUCGAACGCAAUACUAUCUCACACAAGUGGCAGAUUCUGAAUGAUGAAUGUGAUGCUAAAGGUCAAUGUGGGUUGAACAGCUACUGCUCCAGCAGGGGUAAGGAUACUGAGUGCUAUUGCUAUCCUGGUUUCACAUUUAUCGACGAGAAUACCAAAUCCCUGGGCUGCUCUCAGAAUUUCACAAUAGAUGGGUGCGUGGCAAGGAAAGAUCUAGUGAUACACUACAACAUCACUACCUUAGACAAUAUGUAUUGGGCUGGUGAUCCUUAUUCUGUGAAGCCUAACUUGGAGAAGGAAGACUGUAAGAAAGCUUGCC
rnacentral:lncRNA from 1 species